rnacentral:lncRNA from 1 species
AGAGAGAGAGAGAGAGAGAGAGAGAGUUCAUAAACUCUAUUCCUAAUGGUAUUGAUCCUGCAAUCAUGAUGCGAGAAAAAAAUUAACUAGUCUAUGUUCCUUAGGGUGCUUUUGGAUGGGACGAUUAAUUGAGGAGGUAUUUCAGAUCCGUAACAAUAAACUCAUUGUACUUGUUCGGACAUAGAGAUUCAUUGUGGAUUUCAAAUCCACAGUUCUCAUUUUUAGUUUUUAGUUUUUUAGCAAUUGUGGUGAAUUUCAAACCCUUUCCUAAUUAUAAUCGUUUCAAAUCCUCGCCAAUUGAAUUGAUUUAAAACCAUUCAUUUCAAAUUCCUCAAUCUAAACACAACCUUAAUGAAAUUUGGUCUACCGUUAUAAGCAUGAAUAUAGUUCAAAGAUGCUUCUCUAUUUCAACUCAUUCAUCAUUCAACAACAAACUACAAAGAGAACAAAGUUCAAUAAAUCCCAUUCAUAAUUAACUUCUUAAGUUAUUAAAAACAAGGAAAAUAGUACAAAGGACCAUAGUGCAUCAAAAACUAGUUAUGUUGGAUUCAUAAAUAUGUUUUACCGUUGUUGUGUUGAGCAUUAGAGCAUCGUUAACGAUGCUUCCGCUACCUCCACCCUCCAGUAAAACUUUUUUGGUUGGUCAACAACAAAAGGAAAAUGAGAGAAAAUUCAUAAACUUUGUUGAUCAUGAAACCUAUGAUUUCACAAACAUGGUGCAAGAAAAAAGUUUACAUUGUUAGAAAACUGGUUUAACCACUAUGUCGCUGACGAAAAAGAAUAUUGUUCGAGAUGCUUCUCUAGUGCAUCUACAUAUGUCUUCCAUCUUCUGUCUUUGGGGAGGCAAGCAACUCAAUAGUAUCCCUUCCCAAGGUGAAAAUGAGGUCCCGAGGAAAAAUCUCAAAGAAAGGAAAGACCUCUUACGCGACAACUGGCAACAAAAAAUAAAUAAUAAAAAAUAAAAAAUAAAAAAAUAAAAAAGAGAGAGGAAUGAACUACGCUCCUAAUUAACUUUAAUAGUUAUUAAAAUAAGAAAAUUAGUGAAUUAAGAAACAAUGAAGGUGCAAAAGGCGACAAAUUUGUGGCCGUAAAUGUUUAUAAACAACAAUAUUUGGUUCUACACUUAAAGAUCAAAGACAUAUUCGUUUGGCAUUUUGCUUACAAACUCUCUAUCUCUACCAACUUUAAAAGUAUGAAUGUUUUUUGUUUCUUAACAUUUUUUGUGCUUGCUAUUAUGCACCUUAUAACAAAGUUAUACCGUCAACUAGUUGGGGUACUCAAUUGUGUAAUAAAAAAAUGAAAAUAAUAAAUUAACAUAGCUUAAUAAUGUAGUUUAAAUAUCAAAUGUCUUUUCAUGUGCUAUAUUUAUAUGAAAGUGAGAGCUUAUUGUAUUCUUAUUGUAAUUUUUUCUACAUAUUGAUAUUUUUGAUGUAAUUUAAUUUUGUAUAAAAUUACAUUUGGACAACUUUCCACUGAUAUAUUAUAAGCAUAUAUAUUAAUUUUUUUUUUAAAUAAAUCAUUUUAUUUUAGGGAAAGUUACAAAUAAGCCCAUCAUGAGCUACUCAUUCAUAAAGUGGCCAAGACAAAAAACUAUUUUACAAAAAAAUCCGGGUUAAUUGCAUUUCGCCACCUAGACUUUGCCCGUUUUUGCACUUUACCACCUUAACUAAAACAAAUUGCACGGUCGCACUUAGACAUUCAUUUUUUACGCACAUAACCACCUGGAGGGAAUAUUCUGGCAAAUCUUUCCACUUUUCGGCGCACGCACGCUGCCAAGCCAAAGUAUAUGGGCUUUUUCGUCUUUUCCUUUUACAUCCUUCUAAAUGCCCUAGCAGUCGUUGACCUCCCCCAUUUCAUUUCAAUUUCACACCUUCACAAAAAAAUCACCUUUUCUAUCUCAAUCUAGGGCUAACAUUGUCGACGAUAAAUUGCAAUAAUCUGAAGAUCUUCUUAACUCUAUCAUGACUUGGAAGUUAAGGGAGGGUAGUGACGAGGACAAUUUUCGAAAAAAUGCUCCAGAAUACGGUAUGCGUUCUUAGAAUUCAUAUUAUUUGUUUUUUUUAAUGUAAAUAGUUGUUUUAUGUAUUCAAUGUGGUUGCACAUGGGGUGUUCUUGGAUUUGUUUAUAAUAUACUAUAGUGAUUUCUUUGUUUGUUUAUAGUUUUUUUCUUUAUUGUGUGGACCACAUUGGUUUUCUUGUCUCCCAUAUGUUUAUGCCAACUUACAAUACAUGUUUGGACCACAUUUCAGUCUCCCACUUUGAUUUUAGCAUGUUUAAUUUUUUUUUUCUUAUUACCACAUCAAAUAGUUUUUUAUUAGAUUCACAUGUUCGGAAAAUGUGUUUUAUAUAUUUUUUGGCAGGCCGCAAUAGUGAUUAUUUCACAAUAGUAAUGCACCAUUCUGGAAAAUUUAUGGAUUUAGGUAAGAUCUGUUAUGUGGGUGAGAAAGUUAGUUAUUUUGACUACUGUUGUUAUGAUGAAAUGUCAAUGACUGAAAUAACUGAAAUGGCAAGGGAAUUAAAAUUGGAAGAUUGGGAAGAUUUCUAUCAUAGUAGAAGUGCAUUACAAGAUUGUAGUGUUCUUUAUUUAAUGGAGAAUGAAUAUGAUGCUUUGGAAUUAGUGAACUAUCUUGACAAAGACAGAGCCACUACAAUUUAUGUGAAGCACCUACAAGUAAUAGAAGAUGAAACUGAAAAAAGUCAACCUGAUUCCUUUGAUUUAGAUAAUCUUCCAUAUGUAGAUGAAGCAUCAGUAGGGUAUGUGGGCGAUGUUGAUGAAGUUGAUGACUUAAUGAUGUGUGUGAGUCUGAUGUGCUUAAAUUUGAGGUUCUUGAUAGUAAUAUGUAUGUGAAUCAUAUGACUGAUAUUUUUGGUGAUAAUGAUGGUUUGUUUGAUGAUAAUGAAAGUGGUGGCAGUGAUGUUCAGUCAGUUGGAGAUGAUUCAGAGCACUCUGACUUUUUGGUUGGUAGUGAUUUUUUUUGCAUCAGAUGAUGAUUUUAAAUAUGAUAAAAAUAUUGAUCAUGGGGUAGAGUGGGGUGGACUUAAGUCAGAUGAAGAAGCUGAAGAACCUAGAAGGUCUAGGAGAUUAAACAAGGGGAAAGAGAAAGUGGUAGAAGAUUAGAUUCAUGAAACUGCCAAGAAAGAUCAAUGGAAACACCACAACUUUCCAGUUUUUAAUCCAAAGAUAGACAUGGGUGAUCCUAACUUUCAUCUUGGUGUUUGCUUCAAAGAUGCAUAGAGUUUUAGAGAUGCCAUAAGACAGCACUCCAUAGUUAAUGGUAGGGACAUAAAGCUGAGGCUUAAUGAGAAGUUCAAAAGAAUUUACAUUUGCUGGGAUAGAUUGAGAAUGGGUUUCUUGAUGGGUGUAGGCCAAUCAUCUUCUUAGAUGGUUGUCACUUGUCGAUAUAUGGUGGGAUUCUUCUAUGUACAGUGGGGAUAGAUGGAAAUAAUGGCAUGUAUCCCUUUGCAUAUGCUGUUGUAGAAAAGGAAAAGAGAGAAAGUUGGUUGUGGUUUAUGAAUUCGCUGAAAGAAGACUUGAAGAUUGAGGAGAGUCAGCACUGGACCAUCAUGAGUGACAAGCAUAAGGGGUUAUUAGAUGUUGUGGAGGAAGUUCUGCCUAACAGUGAGCACAUAUUUUGUGCCAUGUACUUGUACUGUAACUUCAAGGUAUCACAUAAAGGAUUGGCAAUCAAGAACAUUCUGUGGCAAGCUGCUAGAGCUUCAAGAGUGGUAGAUUUUGAAAGAGUGAUGAGAGAUUUGGCCUCCAAAGAUAAAGAUGCUUUCAAAUGGCUUGCACAAAGGCCUGCUGCACAUUGGAGUAGAGCUUUUUUCAAUACAAAUUCAAAAUGUGAUACACUUUUGAACAAUAUGUGUGAAAGCUUUAAUGCAAUGAUUCUAAGGCCUAGAAAUCUACCAAUAAUUGAUAUGUUGGAGGCAAUCAGAAAGACCUUGUUGAAGAGGCUACAUGUGAAGAGGGAUAAGAUGGCAAGCCACAAGGGUGACAUAUGUCCUAACAUUCAGAGACAGAUAGAAGAGCUGAAGAAAAAAUCAAUGGAGUUCAUAGCUAAUUGGAAUGGUAAGGAUCAGUUUAAAGGUGAUAAUUGCUGUGAUGAUAGAUUUAAGGUGCAUUUGGGGGAUAAAACUUUCAGUUGUAGAAAGUGGUAAAUCUCUGAACUUUCUUGUGCACAUUCCAUUUCAGGCAUGUACUAUCUGCGGAGAAUACCUGAAGAUUAUGUUGAAAAAUUUUAUAAGAAGAACACCUAUAUGACAGUGUACAACCACUUACUUGACACACUUGAAGGAAUUGAAUCUUGGCCUGAAUCUGGAAAGCCACCCUUGCUUCUUCCAGACAUAGUGAAGAUGCCAGGCAGGCCUAAACUGCACAAAAGAAGAAGGCAACCAGGGGAGAUCAGUGGUCCAAAGGACAUCCCACCACCAGUUGCCAAAACAGUAACAAGAAUUGAGAGUUUGGGUAGACAAGGUGUCAUUAUGACAUGUAGUUCAUGUCAAAAGAAAAAGCACAAUUCAAGAACUUGCCCUUUGAAGAAGGCAAGAUGUGUAGUUAAUGAUAAAGGCCAGGUAUAUGCAUAGUUUUCAAUUAUUCAUUAUUUUAUUGAGUAAGUUAAUUGUUAACUAAUGCAGUUGAAUUUGUUUCAAUGCUAGAGAAAGAAGUCAAACACACAAGCUACUGUUACUCAACAACAAAGACAAACUGUGACAAAACAACGAAGUCAAACUACAUUUGCACCUCAUAUAGAAGUUCAAACAAGUACUGCUAUUAACAGAAAUGUACUUAGCUUUUGUGAUUUGUAGCCAAACUACUGUUUCUAUGUUAGUUUAUGAUUUUGUGAUUUUUUUUGAUUUCUUCCAUUUCUGUAGAGGAAGCUUGUUUCUGACAUUAACCAGACUCAAGAAAGUGUAGCUGAGCCUUCACACUUCUUCAAAUCAUCUUCACACUUCUUCAACUCAUCUUCGUACUUAUUCAACUCAUCUUCGUACUUGUUGAUCUUCCUAAGUAAACCAAGAAUUAUGUUACGAGAUCGGUCACACAUUGAAGGGUCAAUCCACAAAUAGUAUUUGCAACCACCCCCAAUUAGCUGGAAAAAACAGAACACGUUACAAGAAUUCAAAAUCAGCAAAUCUCUUCCAUGGAUUCAAAAUAAGAUUGACGAAAUUUACAAGAAAUUCAUACCUUAUAUUUCGGAGAUAUAGCAAAUCUCCUCCCUGGAUUCAAAUCGGUCCAAGAUGUUUUCAUUAUUGUCAUUCUUGCAGAGUAGCAUAUAUUAUUGACCUGGACUCAACUACUUUGUAACAUAUCCGGAACCUAAACAAAAGAACAAAAGAACGAAGAGAGAGCAUGGAGAAAAUCAAAACCUUAAUUUCAAUGGGUUUGUCCACCUCCUCAAUUGCAAACAAAUCAAAGUUAUAGUGAGUCUCAUCUUCACCCUUGCUGGGUUUGUCCACCUUUCCAUCCUCAAGCAUCUUCCUUACCAUUUAUUUGGAUAAUACUGUAUGAAAAAAUGUGGCAAAUAAAAAUUCUGCACUUUGCCCUCUCCAGAAUCCCAAAAAUUUUUACCAACAAAAUCCCAAAAACAGGCCUAUCCAUCUCCAAAAACAUCAACAAAAUCCUGAAACGCCUUCUUUCUUCAUCCAUCAAUUCAUCAAAUUCAGCCGUUAUUUCACAUCAUCGAGACGAAUUUGCCAUGGCCGCCAAUUCACAAAGCCUCAAACACGGAGUUUCUUCAGAAAAGAUUGAUUCUUGAGAAAAGCACAAAAAAAAGAAGAGAAGAAGAAGAUGAAGAUGAUGAUGUGGCAAUGUUUGUAUGAGAGAGAUGAGAGAGAAAAAAAUAGGGCCCACACAUUAUUUGAGUUGAAAGACCAAAAAAACCCUUACAUUAAGCAUAUUAAGCAUGUGCAUGGCGCGUCCGCCGAUAAAUGAGAAGAUUCGUUAGAAUAUUCGCCAUAGGUAGUUAUGUGCGUCAAAAAAAUGGUUUCGUUGUGCCCGUCCGAAUUUUUAGUUAAUGUAAAAAUGUGCACAAUACAGAUGACAAAAUGCUAUUAACCCUUAAAACUAUUGAGUCUAUGAAUAAUUUGUAGUAGCAACUCAAAACCAGAUGAUUUUUCAUCUUAAAAUGGAUCAGCAAUAUUCGUACUGUAAUUUUGUCCAACGAAACAUAUUUUUCCAAGAGAAAAAAAAAUUCAAAAAAAAAAAUCAAAAUUUAUGUUACACUAGCUAACUAAUCUAGUGUGUUUUUCUACAUCAUAAACUGAUCAAGUAAGAGGUGAGAUGAAUGAAUGACUCUUCACUGCAGGGAAUAGUAAGUCCGCCCAUUGGAUGAUGGAACCCAAAUUCUUCUUCGACCUGAAAUAGCAAUUCUUGAAAAGAAGGAUGGUACAAAUACGAUAAUGGAAUAACAAAAUGCUUCUUCUCAUUCUGCCCAACAUAAACAGCUAAAUGACCCUUUGGAACUUCAUUUGAUUUCCUUUCAGAUGGUAAAGACCGUCUAAGCAUUUGUCGAAUCGCCAUUAUACUAUUCAAACUAAAUUUUUUUGAUGAGGCGAAACCUCUGUUACACGGACACGCCUAAUAUGAGAAGUGUCCACGUGUCGUACGAAACGCCCAAAUACGCGUAUAAUACGCUUGGGGGCCGUGUCAGUAAUUAUGAAAUAAUUGGACACGCGUAUCCAAAAUUGAUACGCGUGUCAAAGAGGAAAAAAAAUUCGCAGCCUUUUUUUGAAAAGCCCAAAAGGCAAAACUCAAAAGUCAAAACCUAUUUUACCUUUUUUAUUAUAGGUUGUACCCUAGCCGUAAUUUCUUUCUUGCAAAUUACUCUGCAAAAAGCCAUAAACUAAUAUAUUAUAUAUUAGUUUUUACUUUUUGCUUUUUUCUUUUAUACAUGAUUACAAGCUAUACAACAAUAAUAUUAUUCUUUUUUUCUGUUUGUUAUUUUUUUUGGUUUUUUGUGUUUUUUUAUUUAACUAUGGAUCAUAUUAGAAGUAGAGACGAAGAGAAUAAUAUUCUGUGGAAAUAUGUCACUAAAAUCGGGAAAUUAGGGGACGGUGGUGGUAAUUGUAAAUGGGUUUGUAAUUUCUGUCAUCAAGAAAAACAAGGAAGUUACACCAGGGUUAGGGUUCACCUCUUAAAUAUUAAGAAGCAAGGGAUUGCAGGUUGCACGAGUGUUGGCAAGGAUGAUAUUUCUGAAAUGAAGAAGAUGUAACACAAAAAAUUCUAAAUUCACAACCUAAGAAAGUUUCUUUACCGAAAACUACGAUGAAUCCAUUGUCUGGUGAAGCAGGUGGUUCAAAUCUUUUGAAUUUGAAGAAGAGACGAGCAGACGACUCACCUAUUGCUAGAGCUUUUGAUUUACAAACUAGAGAUCAAUUGGAUGCAUAAAUUGCUAGGAUGUUUUAUACUGGGGGCAUACCUUUUAAUCUUGCUAAUAAUCCUUAUUUUCUGAGCUCUUUUGUAUUUGCUGCUAAUCAUUCAUUGGGUGGUUAUGUUCCUCCCAGCUUCAAUAAAUUGAGAACCACAUUGCUCCAGCAAGAAAAGGCACACGUGGAGAGGUUGUUGGAACCUAUUAAGAGCACUUGGUUCGAAAAAAGUGUUAGUAUUGUGAGUGAUGGUUGGAGUGACCCACGGAGGAGACCUUUGAUUAAUAUUAUGGUUUUUUCUGAGUCUGGUCCUAUGUUUGUCAAAGCCGUGGAUUGUUCUGGUGAGAUAAAAGAUAAACAAUUUAUUGCAAAGUUGUUGAAAGAAGUAAUCCACGAGGUUGGACAUGAAAAGGUUGUUCAAGUUAUUACUGAUAAUGCUAGAAAUUGUAAGGCCGCUGGAGAAAUUAUUGAAGGCAUGUUUCCUAAUAUUUAUUGGACUCCUUGUAUUGUUUAUACUCUCAAUCUUGCUUUGAAAAAUAUUUGUGCAGCUAGAAAUGCGGAAGCUAAUCAAGUUACAUAUGACUUGUGUAGUUGGAUAAGUAUCGUUCAUGCAGAUGCUAUGCAAAUCAAGAAUUUUAUAAUGAACCAUAACAUGAGGCUAGCUAUUUUCUAUCGGUUUAGUCAUUUGAAGUUGCUUUCAGUUGCCGACACUCGUUUUGCUUCUGUUGUUGUCAUUCUUAAGAGAUUCAAGCUUAUUAAAUGUGCUUUAGGGUUAAUGGUUUUCAGUGAACAAUGGGCACAAUACCGAGAAGAUGACCAAGGGAAAGCUAGAUUUGUUCGCGAUACGGUGGUGAAUGAAGAUUGGUGGAAAAAGGUUGAUUACAUUCUUUCUUUUACUGCCCCGAUUUAUGAAAUGCUUAGAAAUUGUGAUACAGACAAGCCAUGUCUUCAUUUAGCUUAUGAGAUGUGGGACUCCAUGAUUGAAAAAGUGAAGAAGACUAUUUAUGAGAAUGAAGGAAAGCAACGAAUUGAAUCUUCUGCUUUUUAUGAUGUGGUCCAUGAGAUUCUUGUUGAUCGUUGGGCAAAGUAUAAUACCCCUCUUCAUUGCUUGGCUCACUCAUUAAACCCAAAGUGAUUUUUUAUUUUUAUCAAUAUUUAAUUUUUUUUAUAUCAACGUGUUAUUUAUUUUUUGACUUCUUGUUAUUCGCUUUCUUGUUUUUUCCCUAAGGUAUUAUAGUGAUAAAUGGCUUCGAGACGGAGAAGGUAGAUUGCCACCUCAUAUGGAUGGAGAAGUUUCAACUGAAAGAAUCAAGUGUUUUAAAAGAAUGUUCGCAAACGAAGAGGAUCGUGCAAAGGUCAAUGAUGAAUUUGCCAAUUUUUCUCUCAAGCUAGAAAGUGGUGGGCAUGCUAUGGUUCAACUUCUCCUUUGCUUCAACGAUUGGCAUUUAGGGUUCUUGGACAACCUACUUCCUCCUCUUGUUGUGAAAGGAAUUGGAGUACGUACUCCUUUAUUCAUGCAUUUCGAAGGAAUUAAUUAACUCCUAAAAGAGCAGAGGAUUUAGUAUUCGUUCAUACCAACCUUCGUCUUUUGUCUAGAGGCACUUCCCAAUACCACGAUGAAAAGACAAAGAUGUGGGACGUUGGUGGGGAUGAAUUUGGAAGUAUGGAAGAUACAGGAAUUCUUGAAAUUGCCGACCUUUCUUUAGAUGAACCAGAAUUAGAGACCGUACUUUUUACUGAAGAUGAGGCGGCUGAAAAGUAGGAAGUGAUGGAAAAUGCUCGUUCAAUUUUAUUAUUAUUAUUAUUUUAAAAGCAAUAUUUUAUUAAGUAUUGGAUAAUUUAUUUUGAUUAGUUGAACAUGGUUUUUUUAUUUUAUUUAAUUUGAUUGUUUUUUUUUUAAUUUUUAGUAUGAUGUGAAAUUGGCUAUACCAUAUGGUAGCUCCUAAUCUAUAAUUUUUUGCUGAUUUAAAGUUGAAAACUUGAAAUAGUAUUUGAAUAAAUAUAUAUAUAUAUAUAUAUAUAUGUGAAUUUUAAAUUGUAAAAAUAAAUAUUUUAAUAAUUUCCAAGUAGACUCCUAUGUUUUCAAUAUUUACACGUAUCCCCACGUUCCCGUGUCCUACUUUUUUUUAUUAAAAGUUUCCCGGUGUCCGUGUCCGUGUGUCGCCGUGUCCCCAUUCGCGUAUCUGUUAACCUAGGGCGAAACAGAAAACAAACAUAUCGAAAGUUAUUUUGAAAUAAGUGAAAUCUGAGGAAGCUAGUGUUUUUUGGAUGACUUGUUAUGACCAAGAAAUGUGUUGUGUGUGUGUGUCUAUAUAUAUAUAUAUAUAUAUAUAUAUAUAUAUAUAUAUAUAUAUAUAUAUAUAUAUAUAUAUAUAUAUGUAUAUAUAUAUAUAUAUAUAUAUAGGUGUAAAUAGACUUGUUGAGUAUUUCAUAAAUUUAGAUACGAGUAGUGGAUAUGUGAUGGCAUGUUAAACUCGAGGGACAUAAGUGAUAGAGCACAAAAUCAGGAACAUCAUAUUCCUUGAUAGAGCAUAAUCAGUAAUGACAUAAUUCUCUCCCCAUUACAGUAAUUACAUUGAUUUAGUUUCCUAUUGUACAAUCUAGAUUAGUGGGACUCUUUUGUAUAUAUUAUGUACAAUAUCAUUCUUAAUAAUAUAUAAUGAACAUUACACCAAAUCUCUUUAUGGUACCAGAGCUCUCUCUAUCAAUUGAAUAGAGUUUGAUCCUUUGCCCACCUACUUAGUCUCCAUUACAACUACAAUGGAAAAUCAAACACCACUAAAUACAACAAUACCUCCCCAAACCAUUUCUGCAGAACCUACUCUUGUGUCAACAACUCCACAAAUGAUGACUCAACGUGAUUCAUUUUCUAACGGUGGAAAUCUAAUAUCUCUUAAUGCCUCUUCCCAGAUUCCAUUCAAACUUGCAAAGAAUGGGGUAAGUUAUGCUUCUUGGAAGUCGCAAAUGACCAAUCUUCUCUUCGGUUAUGGACUUCUUGGCUUCGUUGAUGGAACACAUCCAUGCCUGCUGCCAACCGAUCCAGAAUAUAUUUAUUGGACUCGUCAAGAUCGUCUUGUGCUCUUCAGCAUCCAGGCCACGGUUAAUAGCACAAUCAGCCCGACGAUCAACAAUUGCACCACUUUUGCUGAUGCUUGGAACAAAUUGGAAACGAGUUUUGCUAAUCGUUCCAAUACAAGGAUGCUCUCUAUUAUGUCAUCCCUCAUGACAAACAAAAAAGAAGGGAAGACCGUUGCUGCCUAUAUGAGCAGGGUAAAGAACCUCGUUGACGACUUAGCUCUUAUUGGACACCCUCUAAAUGACUCUCAAGUCAUGUCCUAUGCCUUAAAUGGUUUGGGUGACGAGUUUAAAGAACUCACUGCAGCCGUUCGUGUUCGCGACACUCCACUCUCGUUUGAGGACCUCUAUGAUAAAUUACUCGACGAGGAACUGAUUCGUAAUAAUGGAGAAUUAAAGGAUGAAGAAGUACAAAUCACUGCACAAUUCACUCAAAAACAGGCUAUGUAUAAAAAUUGUGGUACUCGCGGAGGACAUCGUGGUGGUAACAAUAGCUCAUCACACAACUCACAUAACACUCCCAGCCACAUGCAUUUUAAUCGCCAACAACAACCUUCUUCUGGACGAGGUAUACGCUCAUCAAAUUUUCAACCACAUUUUUCCUCAUGGAAUUCAAACUCUUAUCAGGGAAAUCAAAGCCAACAUCGCAUUGUUUGUCAACUAUGUGAUAAACCGGGACACAGUGCAAAAACUUGUUACUCUCGUGAACAACCAUCUUCUCAGUUAUCUCGACCGCAUGCAAAUCUAGCUGAACGAGACACAACCCAUAACAAUAAGAAUUGGGUGCUCGAUUCAGGUGCCACGCACCAUAUCACUUCCGAUCUCCAGAAUCUCUCGAUGCACUCAAACUAUGUUGGAAAUGAAGACGUGGUUGUCGGCAAUGGUAAUGAAAUUCCUAUCUCUCAUAUUGGUUCUGGUUCAAUUAAUUCUCAUGGUUCCUCUUUUGCAUUAAACAAUGUUCUGUGUGCUCCAUUAAUAAAGAAGAACUUGAUAUCUGUUUCCCAAUUUUGCAAACAAAAUAAUGUUUCCAUUGAAUUUUUUGCUAACUAUUUUCUUGUGAAGGAUUUGAAUACGAGGGCAUCCUUGGCGAAAGGCCGGAGUAGACAUAACUUGUACGAAUGAUCAUCUUCAAAAACGAUUCCAUCCACCCUCACUCCUUCUACCUCUAUUGCUCUUUCCUCUCAGUUAUGGCACCAACGUCUUGGUCAUCCCUCUCGUUCCAUCCAAAAAAGGAUUCUAACAAAUAAUAAAAUUCCCUCUUCUGUGCUUUCUUCUGAUAAAGUGUGUGACUCUUGUAUGUGUAACAAAAGUCAUAAACUAUCUUUCAAAAGUUCUUCCAUUAGCUGUAAUGCACCAUUUCAAAUUAAUUAUUCAGAUGUUAGGGGACCUUCUCCAGUGAUCUCUUUUGGCAAUUACCGAUACUAUGUUAUUUUUAUUGAUUAUUUCACUAAAUACACAUGGUUUUAUCCUCUAAAGUCCAAAUCCGAUGUAUUUAGUGUUUUUGAAAAAUUCAGCAAGUUGAUUGAAAAUUUCUUUCACUCCAAAAUUAAAACCAUAUACACAGAUGGUGGUGGUGAGUACAAAGCUCUUGCUCACCGUUUAUCUACACAAGGUAUCCAACAUCUCACAUCUCCACCUUAUACAUCUGAGCAUGUUGGCUCCGCUGAACGGAAACAUCGUCAUAUAGUGGAAACCGGCCUCACGCUACUCCACAAUGCUGCCAUACCCUUACGAUUCUAGUCUCAUGCUUUCCAAAAUGCCAUUUAUCUUAUCAAUCGUAUGCCUACACCCGUACUCAACUACGAUACACCAUACCAAAAAUUAUUUGGUCACAUACCAAAAUAUACUUCACUUCGAGUUUUUGGCUGCCUUUGUUAUCCAUGGCUUCGACCAUACAACAGCCACAAACUUGAACCCCGUUCCCGUCCAUGUGUGUAUCUUGGUUUUUCUCUUUCUCACCACUCAUUUCUUUGUUUUGAUAUUAAGUCGAAUCGGCUCUUCAUCUCUCGACAUGUUGUCUUCUUUGAGCACGUCUUUCCUUACAAAGAUAAAUCAUAUCCUGACUUAUAUAUCUCAAGCCACAGUUUUUCCAAAUACCUAUCUACCUUCACAGAUAAGAAUGUCGACAAAGCAACAGCACCCCCAUGUGACCCUUCGGAUUCUGUCAUUCCACCCUCUCAUGAACCAUACUUGCUCCCUACACCAUCUCGAAGAUGUUCUUCUCAACAAGUUGUCUCUACUUCGUCUUCUCCCACGGCUGCUCAUCGAUCAUCUCCACCACAGGUAACUAGUUCUCCACCCUCACCCAUAAGUUCUCUUAAUCCCACCCCUACUACUGCAACUCAUACCCCAGGUGAAUGUACCACCAGCUACUCUACCCCAUGCCAAAUUAUUACCAUCUCGGAUCAGCCCACUGCACCAAAUAAUUCCCCUCCCCCUCCACCAAUUCAACCAUCCCCCAUAAUCACUCGUGCCAAAAAUAAUAUUCACAAACCAAAAAAACAUUUCUCUCUUCAUACAACUACGAUUCCGUCUCUACUCGAAACAGAACCAACCUCAUUUACCCAAGCGAACUCACACUCUCAUUGGCGUGAAGCCAUGAGCGAAGAGUUUCUAGCCCUUACAAAAAAUAAAACUUGGACCCUUGUACCCUCCUCCCCUACACAGAACAUUGUUGGAUGUAAAUGGGUCUAUAGAAUUAAAAGAACCGGAUGGUUCUAUUGCUCGCUACAAAGCCCGUCUUGUGGCUAAGGGAUUUCACCAAAGACCUGGUAUUGAUUUUACCGAAACUUUCAGUCCAGUUGUUAAACCAGCUACUAUUCGCCUUGUUCUUACUAUUGUUGUGACUCGUGGGUGGAUUUUGAAACAAUUGGAUGUUAAUAAUGCUUUCUUGCAAGGUACUCUUUCUGAAUCUGUUUAUAUGCAGCAACCUCAAGGCUUCAUCAACUCUCACUAUCCUUCACAUGUAUGUAAACUGCAUAAAGCCAUAUAUGGUCUUCGUCAAGCUCAUCGGGCAUGGUACAAUGAGCUUCACUCUUUUCUUCUUGAUUAUGGUUUCGCAAACUCAAAGAGUGAUACUUCUCUCUUUAUUUAUACUACGGGGGCGAGAAUCAUGUACUUGCUUGUGUACGUGGAUGAUAUAGUUAUCACCGGCAAUCAUCCAUCUACAAUUUCUACCUUCACUACUCGGCUCUCUAAUCGGUUUUCUCUUAAGGAUCUCGGGAAUCACAGCUAUUUCUUAGGAGUUGAAACAUCUCGAACCUCCCGGGGCAUGUUCCUAUCUCAACAAAAAUAUAUUAGUGAUCUUCUUAGACGCACUAAUAUCCAUGAAGCCAAAGAAGUCCACACUCCAUUAAUGUCUCCUUCUGAGACACUCAAACUUGACGACAGCUCCUGUAGCCAUGAUCCAAAAGAGUAUCGCCAAGUGCUUGGUUCACUUCAAUACCUCUCUCUUGCCAGACCGGAUGUUAGUUAUGAAGUCAAUAAGCUAGCUCAAUUUAUGCAUCGACCAACCGAGAAUCAUUGGCUUGCUGUUAAACGAGUUCUUCGAUAUCUAAAGGGCACGUCCCAUUAUGGUAUUUUCAUUGCUGCCAGCUCUCCUCUAGCACUUCAUGCUUUUGCCGAUGCAGACUGGGCUGGUGAUGCCGACACCCGACACUCAACAUCAGCCUAUGUUGUCUUCCUCGGCUCAAAUCCCAUUAGUUGGAGCUCCAAGAAACAAUUGACCAUUGCACGGUCAUCCACCGAGGCAGAAUAUCGUGCCAUAGCUGUUGCCACUGCUGAAGUAAUGUGGAUCACGAAUUUACUUCGUGAACUAUCUCUCUCCUUACAAGUUGCUCCAACAAUUUAUUGUGAUAACAUUGGAGCUACUUACUUAUGCUCCAAUCCUGUUUUCCAUUCACUAAUGAAGCACAUUGCAAUCGACUUUCAUUUUGUACGUGAUCAAGUUUCUCAAAAAAGGCUUCGCAUCUCCCAUGUUCAUUCAACAGACCAGCUUGCGGACUCCCUUACAAAACCUUUUUCUCGGAAGCUGUUUCUAAUUCAUCGGUCCAAGCUUAGUGUCCUUCCCGGACCCUUGCGCUUGCGGGGGCAUGAUAGGGCACAAAAUCAGGAACAUAAUAUUCCUUGAUAGAGCAUAAUCAGUAAUGACAUAAUUCUCUCCCCAUUACAGUAAUUACAUUGAUUUAGUUUCCUAUUGUACAAACUAGAUUAGUGGGACUCUUUUGUAUAUAUUAUGUACAAUAUCAUUCUUAAUAAUAUAUAAUGAACAUUACAACAAAUCUCUUUAAUAAGCACAUGAUGGAGAUGAGAAAUAGCCCUCAAAAUAACCCACAAAAGUAAUCAAUUUUUUAUAACAAAUUGUGAAGCAUUCAUCUCACCGAAAACAAUAACAAGUUCAAUUAAUUUCAUGUUACAUGUCAUAAUAAUACAGAGGAAACAACAACCGUAAAAUCCGUAUAAACAUAUUGAUGACAAUACCUAAUAAUGGCUUUUGAACUAUAAUUUACAUAUUAUCACCAUUAAUUUUUUUUAACUAAUGUAAACAUAAUGGUCCACACAGAUGCGUUAGCCACGUACAGACAAGAGGUGAUGGUGCUGUACAAAUUGGCAGAUCAUGUGAUUGUGUUUUGUGGUUUAUAUGAAAGUUUUGAACUCCAAAUAGUACACGUUGGAUAUAUUAAUUGACUGGAGAAAAUUUAUUCUGACAUUAUGAUACGAACCCCGUAGAACUUGUUACGGGACCCAAUAAUCUUAUGCGGAAGCAAGAACGGAACGUCCAAAAAAUAAAGGAUUCCAUUGGCGGAAUUCGGAAUAUUAACCCCGUAGUUAUAGAGAGCUAGACAUCAAUAUUAUCAAGGUGGAAGUAUUGACCCCGUGAUUAUAAUGAAUCAGAAACCAAUACUAUAUUGCUAAGAAUAAUUCACAAGAAUCCACUCGCAAAAUAUCCCGAAGAGUUGUUGAAGAACAACGAAGGAGAAUUUUAAUCUCUCAAAAUAAUACUUAAAAACGUCCAAAUAAUAAUGACCUAAAACAAGCUAUUUAUAAGUGUCAAAGAGACAUAAUCUAACAAGGAAAAUAAAUCAUAACUUAUCUAUUAUAAGGAAAUAAUGAAAUAAACUAAAUCUAGUCCAAAUCGGACUCUAUAUAACAAGAAAUAAAUUUUCCAAUAAUAAAAUACGAAAAUUAAUAAUAAUCAUCUUUUCCAUGUCACGUCUUCUUCGUCUGGAUGACUAGACGGGCUCAAGUCCUUGAGCUCGGCUUGCUUCACAAUCUGGCCCGAAUAAUUCGCUCCAAUUAAGCUCAGUUGGGACCGAACUAGACUUCGUCAAUUCUUCCUUUUGGAGCUUGUGUUCUACUAAGUUAAGCAUGGCUGCUUCAAUGCGCUUGGCCCGAGCUCGGGUAAUUGGUCCUCUUGGUACAUGCAGCUCGUCCAAGUCAUCAACUCCUUCAUCCAGCUCGGCACUACCUCGCGUAAUUGGAUGGAUCGUAUCAUCCUCCCCCUCUUGAAAAUGAUUCGUCCUCGAAUCUGAACCUACAUCAAACGGAGAUAGGUCAGAAACAUUAAAUGUCGAACUAACUUGAGACUCACUUGGAAGGUCGAUCUUAGAGGCAUUAUCGUUAAUCUUCUCCAGCACUUGGAAAGGUCCAUCUCCUCGUGGAUUAAGUUUUGAACUCCGCUCAUUGGGAAACCUUUCCUUUCGAAAAUGAACCCAAACCCAAUCUCCUUGCUGAAAGGUAAGGUGCUUUCGCCUCUUAUUAGCUCGGUUCGCAACUUGGUCAUUCCUUUUCACAAUGUGCUCGCGUGCUUCUUCAUGGAUUUUCUUCUCUAACUCAGCCUUACGGUUCCCAUCUAGACUAGAAAUCUCAUUAACAGGUAAAGGCAACAAAUCCAAAGGAGUUAGCGGAUUAUAACCAUAAACAAUCUCAAAAGGUGAAAACUUUGUAGAAGAAUGCACAGAUCUAUUAUACGCGAACUCAAUAAAAUGAAUACAUUCCUCCCAUGACUUCAGGUUUCUUUUAAGAACAGCUCGCAAUAACAUACCUAAAGUUCGAUUAACUACAUCGGUUUGACCAUCGGUUUGUGGAUGACAAGUAGUAGAAAAGAGUAAAGUCGUACCUAACUUACCCCACAAAACACGCCAAAAAUGACUAAGGAAUUUAACAUCCCUAUCACUAACAAUAGUACGAGGUACCCCAUGUGUUGGGUGCUAAAUACCAACACGCAAGUGCACAUAUGGCAAACAAGUAGUAAAGUGGACUCGUGAGAGUCGGAUGUCGAUCCCACAGGGAAUACGCAGAUUACCUAAUCCUAAGUACCAAAUUUUAACAAUUAUAAUUUUUAUCCAGCCUACGCAGGGUUGUCAAAUUAAUUAACUAAAUAAAUUAAACUAAUUAAGAAAGCAAUUAAACACGAGAAAAUAUCAAUAUAAAACGGAUCUAGGAUUUUAUCUUCCCCCUAUGCGAUAAUUCUUCACCCAAUUAAUCUCCUAUCAUGCAAGUUACGAUUCCCGAUUAUUAACCCAAGACACGAAAUUACUCAUAACCAGCUGUCGCGUGUAUUAUAAGUCUAUUAUUCAUAACAAAUUCACUAUAUGUCUAUGCAAACCUAGUAUGAAUAAAGCAUUAAAUAACAAGUCUCGAAAACGGCUACCUAAGGUAUUAUCUGUAUGUCUACGAUAAUACAUGCAAUCAACACAAGUAAGAUAUGACUUGCUUGCAUGGGCACAACAUCGCACAUCACCUCAUCAUUUUAUUGUCCAAUACUAAAGGAAAUCAGUACUUGUUUUGUCACUCUCAACUCGCCACUUUCAUUCAGCCACUGAAGUUUGUAAGGUCUCGGAUGUUUGGUGACUUGUAGCCCUAGCUUGUCUACCAUUAGCUUGCUCGCUACAUUCACGCAACUUCCUCCAUCAAUUAUCAAUCCACAUACUCGGUUUUGAACAUGGCAGCGUGUAUAGAAGAUGUUCUCUCGCUGUAUUACAUCACCAUCUUCUUCAUCUUGCACGUGAAGAGUUCGAAGUACAACAAGUGUGAGUCCAUCAACAGCUUGUACCACGUCACCUUCAAUAGGUGUUGUUUUUGAAGUUGACUCGUCCUCCUCCUCGGACUCCAGCUCGCCAUUAUCCAAUAAAAUCAUAGCUCGCCUGUUAGGGCAGUCCAUGGCGAUAUGACCUGCUCCAUGACAUCUAUGGCAUUUAAUAUCACGUGUUCGUUGUGGUUAUGACGAAUUAUUACCUCUCUCAGGUGGUGCUCGGUUGAUUGGAUUUUCAUUGGAAGGUUUCGUUGUCGAUUUCACCUCGGGUUUCGAAGUAGGAUUCCAUCGCGGUUUCCAGCUUGUAGUUCUCCCUCCUCGCUUAAGCUGCCUCUCAACUUUCAUGGCCAUAUGAACGACCUCCUCAAUCUCAAUGUAGUGCUGCAACUCCACUACAUUAGCGAUCUCCCGGUUCAGCCCGCAAAUAAAUCUUGCCAUCGUGGCCUCUCGAUCCUCCUCAAUAUUGGCUCGAGUCAUUGCAAUCUCCAUCUCCUUAUGGUACUCCUCGACUGAUUUAGUACCUUGCUUCAAGCUUUGCAAUUUCAGAUGUAAGUCUCUAUAAUAAUGUGAGGGCACGAACCUCCUCGCUUAAGCUGCCUCUCAACUUUCAUGGCCAUAUGAACGACAUCCUCAAUCUCAACGUAGUGCUGCAACUCCACUACAUUAGCGAUCUCCCGGUUCAGCCCGCAAAUAAAUCUUGCCAUCGUGGCCUCUCGAUCCUCCUCAAUAUUGGCUCGAGUCAUUGCAAUCUCCAUCUCCUUAUGGUACUCCUCGACUGAUUUAGUACCUUGCUUCAAGCUUUGCAAUUUCAGAUGUACGUCUCUAUAAUAAUGUGAGGGCACGAACCUCCGUCUCAUAAGUGCCUUCAUAGACCCCCAAUCGACAAUUGAUGGUUCGCCGGUUCUGCGUCUAGUCACUACCAAUUGAUCCCACCAAAUGAUAGCAUAAUCGGUGAAUGCUACAGCUUCAAGCUUCACCUUCUUUUCCUCAGAAUAAUUGUGGCAAUCGAAAAGGAUCUCAACCUUUCUUUCCCAUUCUAUGUAUGCCUCGGGAUCACUCUUCCCUUGGAAAGACGGUAUACUCAAUUUGAUCGAGCUGAGGUUCGAUCAACUUCAUCUCUUUCUCGUCCCACAUUACCUCGCCUUGGUAUGUCAAAUCUGCCACCUCUGUUCCCUCGUCCUCUAUGCCAUCGUCUAGAAGUAUUAGACUCUGCCUCAGAUUCUUCAUCGAAGAAUUGUUCAUCGAACUCCAAUUCGUCACGUUGGCGUACAACAAGUUGACGAAUAGGUGGCCGCAGUUGUGGCGCCGUUGCAGGUCUUACCCUACUCAACUCAUCGAUUUUAUUUUGCAUCCUUUGAAGGGUUAUAUGUAGACGUUGGAAGUGCUGCUCCGUGGUUUCGUCCCUUUCAUCACCACUCUCAUUCCUUGACAUGAUGUUCGAAUUGCAAAAUAUUGUUAAAGAAAAAAAAAAAGAUUUUCCUCACCACUCCCACACGUGUAUCACUCAAUAUGAUGUUCACUCAAUGCACUCGUGUUUCACACAAUUAGGCUUUUACCCUCUUUUGAUCUCACACUCUCUUGCCUUUUUCCACUCGUAAACUCCCUUCGAAGUUCUAAAGAAACUAAUCGAGAAAAUAUUAAGUGGAUUUUCGUUUUUUUAUUCAAAGCUAAAUAGUAUUUUAUCAAUUCAGAAAUUAUGUGUAGGCAAAUAAAAGGAAUUUCGAAUUUAAUGGUAAAAGGAAACAAAAGGAAUAAGAAACAAAGAAACAACGUGGAAUUCAAUUAGAAGAAAGGUAGACAGGGAAACAAGAUAUUCAAGGAGUUGCCCAAGUCUAUUAAAACUCUAUUUGUGUUGCCCAAAUCUAUUAAAACUCCUUACAAUGAAUUUUCCUUGGUUGGAUUUCGAAUUUUGCUUCUUUUUUUUUUUUUUUUUUUUGUUUUUUAACUAACAAACCCUAACGUGGGCUGGAAGAAACUUUAAAGAGAAGCACAAUUCGAAUUCUUCUUCUUUUUUUUUUUUUACGAAGACUCUAGAGAACACAAUUCAAGAAAAUAUGAGAUAGAGAAGACACAAAUAAUGGAAGAACGAAAACAAAACAAGGACCCAAAAAAAAAAAAGGACAGGUGAAACCUUUUCUUGGAAAUUGGCUCUGGUUAACAACUGAUACGAACCCCGUAGAACUUGUUAUGGGACCCAAUAAUCUUAUGCGGAAGCAAGAACGGAACGUCCAACAAAUAAAGGAUUCGAUCGGCGGAAUUCGGAAUAUUGACCCCGUAGCUAUAGAGAGCUAGAAACCAAUAUUAUCAAGGUGGAAGUAUUGACCCCGUGAUUAUAAUGAAUCAGAAACCAAUACUAUAUUGCUAAGAAUAAUUCACAAGAAUCCACUCGCAAAAUAUCCCGAAGAGUUGUUGAAGAACAACGAAGGAGAAUUUUAAUCUCUCAAAAUAAUAUUUAAAAACGUCCAAAUAAUAAUGACCUAAAAUAACCUAUUUAUAAGUGUCAAAGAGACCUAAUCUAACAAGGAAAAUAAAUCCUAACUUAUCUAUUAUAAGGAAAUAACGAAAUAAACUAAAUCUAGUCCAAAUCGGACUCUAAAUAACAAGAAAUAAAUUGUCCAAUAAUAAAAUACGAAAAUUAAUAAUAAUCAUCUUUUCCAAGUCACGUCUUCUUCGGCUGGAUGACUAGACGGGCUCAAGUCCUUGAGCUCGGCUUGCUUCACAAUUUGGCCCGAAUAAUUCGCUCCAAUUAAGCUCAGCUGGGAUCGAACUAGACUUCGUCAAUUCUUCCUUUUGGAGCUUGUGUUCUACUAAGUUAAGCAUGGCUGCUUCAAUGCGCUUGGCCCGAGCUCGGGUAAUCGGUCAUCUUGGCACAUGCAGCUCGUCCAAGUCAUCAACUCCUUCAUCCAGCUCGGCACUACCUCGCGUAAUUGGAUGGAUCGUAUCACAUUAUUGUUGGAAUUGAUCAUCAACUCAUCAAAAUGAAGGCCUGAGAUACAAAAGGAAUCUAAGGAGUGCCACACAUUCGUUUCAAGAUUUGCUGUGCCAAGCUGAAGAAGAACUUGGCACUAGUCCGUUGAACAAUAACGCCAACUUGUCCGUCGGUGAAUUCAGUCCAUGCAAAUAUUGUAAACUAGUCGCAAAUCAUUCAUGCGUGAAAGAUUCACACAGCCCGAACCAAUAGCAAACACAUCAUCAUAAUUGUGCUUGGAUUUUGAUUUUAUUCAUCUUAGGGAAUAUGAGAAUUGAGAAGAGGAAUUGGGGAAAUUGUACACGAAUAGGGGAUGAUGGCUAGAAGAGGAAUGAGAUAAGGAAGAAGAUUGUGUGGAAGAGGAAGGAGAUAAUGAAUUGGGGUAAAAUAUUUUUUUUUCUUUUUUUUUUUUUAAACUUGCAAAGGAAAAAAAGACCUUCUAAAUAGUAUGUGCAAUGGGCGUGUGUCCAAUUCUAGCCAUUUUGGUCUGAAAAUGGGCAAUGUGCCACAACUUAUUGAGUUUCGGCGGGAUCGGAUUUUUUUAUUGAGGUGGUAAUCCGCAAAAACGGGCAAAGUUCAGGCGGUUUAAUACUAUUUACCCAUAAUUUUACUACGAUAGCUUGCUAUACCAUUUGAGAAAGGACGCGGCUAGUCGCAAUACUAAUUUCGAUAAGUGUAAGAUCAAAUUAAAGAAAGAUCCUAAAAGAUUCUAUUUUAUUAAGUAUUAAAAUGAAAUGAUAUAUAUCCACAAGUUAAAUUGUGUUUUGUUUGUUCAUGCAAGACCAAAUAACAAAUAACUUGCAAACAAAAAAUAAAAUUAUUUAACCCCCCCCCCCCCCCCCCUUUAAUACUUAAUAAAAUAGAAUCUUUUAGGAUCUUUCUUUAAUUUNNNNNNNNNNNNNNNNNNNNNNNNNNNNNNNNNNNNNNNNNNNNNNNNNNNNNNNNNNNNNNNNNNNNNNNNNNNNNNNNNNNNNNNNNNNNNNNNNNNNCCCCAUAGUUUCUAUGGGGGGGGUGGUUAUCCUGUAGGAAGGGGCGGGGGGGGGGGCCCCAACAUUUUCGGAAGGGUGAGCGCAGAUGGAGGGAGGGGCCUAAAAAUCUUUUUUUUUUUCGUUGUUCAAGGACACAUGUAUAUUUCCCCCUAUAUAUAUGGUUUUUGGUGGUUCGGGCAGGGCACAAAAAAAAAUAUCCCCUCUCCUCUAAAAAAAAAAAUACCCCCCCCCCCCCCCCCCCCCCCCCCCAAAUCCCCAACAAUGACCUAAACCUAAUCCAUUACUAAUUCCUUAUUUUGUUCAACCUUCAAAAAAAAGAAAGGAAAAAAAUUAAAUUUGAAACUGGUUAUAUUCGACAUCAAGAUGUCGAAAACCUAUGCUUCAAAUCGACAUUUUAAGCAUCGAACAAAAAGAAUAGAAAUCAACAUCAAUGAUAUGUUGAAUUUUGCGAGCACAAAUCGACAUUACAAUGCCGGAUUUGUAGCACCACAUUCGACAUAUCCAAAUGCCGAAUUUUGUGCUACAAAUUCGACAUUGUAAUGUCGAUUUUCACCAAUGAAAUUCGACUUUUUUUUCGGAAGCAAUAUCCUAGCUAAAAAACAUAUAAAUACGGGUUUUUUCCACCGUAGAAUCUUCCAUUUUCAAAGUCUUCUCGCUCCAUACUUGCCAUCUUAGUAAGGUUUGUUGAGUUUUGAGGGUGUUGAAUGUUUAGGUUUUGUGGGUUUAUGGAUGAGGAAGAAGAAAGGUUUUGGUGGGUUUGGAAGAUGGAGAAGAUGAGAGUUUGGUCUUGUGAUUUUAUAAUAGAGUUUUUGUAGUUUUUGUGUUUUUAAUAUUGCAUCAUUUUGAUUUUUCUAUUUUUUUAACAAGUAAGAAUAUUAUAAUAUUUAUACAUUAAAAAAAUUAAUUUGGUCUAACACUUAUUGAAAUUAAUUUUUUUUUUUUAAAUUUGUAACUAUUUCUUCUAAUUGUUGGUUUGAGAUCUUCGGCUAGUGAACUUAUUUCACUACUGCAACUUUACAAUUUUGGCUUCACCUCGAAAUGUGGAACAUUUUUUUCUUUUCGAGAUUGACUCAUUAAAUAUGCUAAGAGCUCGAGCAUACGAUCAAUUUUCAGCUCGACUAUUUUUUUCUAAAACCGGAGCAUAUGCGCAAGUUCGAGUCCUUACUCGUUGUGCCACCACUCGAACCUAAAAUCAUUUCUUUCAAAUAUAAUUAUUUUAAACCCAUGUUCUUUAGUGAUUCGAAAAGCCUACUUCAAAAUAUCAUUUUUUAUACUUUCCUUCUACAAUCAUAAACACGUGGUGAUAUAUAGUCAUAUAUAAGCUCCGUAGUUUUUUUUUUCUUCUAAUGUAUAGUAAUUUUGAUGAUUGUUUUAUUUGAAAAAUUUAUACAUGUGAUUUUUUUAUUUAGGGUAAAUUACAAACACCCCCUGAGGUAUGGUCAAAUUACGAAAAACACCCCUCUUGUUAGGUAAUUUGAGGGGUUUGUAAUUUGACCAUACCUCAGGGGGUGUUUGUAAUUUACCCUUUGAUUUAUACUGUGGGAUACAAGUUGUAACAACAAGAUUGAAAUUGAUAUUUUUUUAUUUAGGUGUGGAUUGAGGUUUUUGUACACAAUACAUGAUAUUCGUUUUGUUAGAUAACUGGUAUAAAUGAUUCUACUACACUAUAUACGAGAAUACUAUUUUAGGUUAAAAUUGUAAAAAAAACAAAACCGAUAAAUAUAAAGAAAGAAGGGUAAAUAGCAUUUAACCUCCAUGUGGUUUCACCAUGUCGUAAAUAGCAUUUAACCCCCUUGUCAUUUUUGUGACUUCUCUAUGAAGUGGUUGAAGGGUUUUUCCUAUUAUGAAAAUUGAAACUGAAAGAGGAAUUUGAUAGAAUUGCUGAUGCUUGAAGGGUUUUUCCCAUUAUGAAAAUUGAAACUGAAAGAGGAAUUUGAUAGAAUUGCUGAUGCAGAUGAAUUUGAUAGAUGCAGAUCACAAAGUUACUAAUGCAAAUAGGCGUGAUUUAUGUAAUUGAUGUUAGAAUGCAAACUACGCGAGAUAUUGAUGCUGCUCAAAUGUGGAUUGGGCAACCCAAAAGUCUUUGACCUCGCAAUAAUAGAGAAUGUCGAGAGGGACAUUGCGACGUGUCUCGAGGUAAUCGAUUGAUCCACUCGUUAAUCCUACAAAACAAUUUAAAAUACUAGAUGACACACUAGGAUUGGCCCAGCGAUUAUCCUCUGACGCUCAAGUCAGAAACUAUAAUAAUAUAUGAGUCAAUAAUAAUGAUAAAUUAUCAAAUUAUUGUGUACCUUGUUAUGUGAAUUGAAACACAUAUUUAUAGGUGGAUGAGUACAUAGAACUUUUGUAAAAAAUCAAUGUGGGAUAAUGAGGUGUUGUUUAUAAGUAAAAGGUGUUGAUUGGGUCUUCAUAUUAACUUGGGCCUUUUGGGCCUAAUCUCAAUCAGGCACAUCAUUAAGCCCCCACUCCCAAGUUCGAUCACGGUCCCGUGGGCGUACUUGAGAGUAAUAUAUAAAUACCAACCUGUACUUGUAUGGUUUUUCCUUCUUUUUGAAAUCUCUUUUUCGGGAAUUGUGCAAGCGAGAUUCAAAGAUAUUUAUUAUGUUCCGGUCCAAAGGUCCUUUUCUUCUGAUUAAUUGGCCUGAGGUUCGGGUUGACGUCGAGCCGAUGGAUAGCUUUAGGCGGGGGAAUGGAUACCUUCGAGCUUCCGCCUUCCAGGCAUAAACAUCACUUUUUUUUUCGGAAGAAACCUAUGAGCUCCGCUUCCGCCACAGACCAAGGCUUGUUCCCACUCGGAGCAGCUUGUCUUGAUUGUCCUGGACCAAUUCUAUGCUUUUCAACUUUUCUGCGAGUCUCAUGCUAUCGGUCGCUGAUCGGUCGAAGAACUGAUGAGCUCAUUUUCGACAGCCAUCAUCCAUUUUCUCUUUAGAAGAUUAGGGGUGUCAUCCCCUCCCCCCACUUGCUUCUUGUUCUGAAGUUGAGGUGUCUUCAAGGUAUUCGCAUAACAUUCCCGAGCUACGCAUUGGUCACCUAUGGCUUCUCCGAUUCCACUAGCCGUAGAAAAUUUCAACUUCAUAUGAUAUGUUGAGGGGAUUGCUCUGAAGAGCUUCAAACUUGAUCUCCCUAAAAUGACGUUACAUGUAGAUGGUGCCUUGACGACCAAGAAGUUAACGGAAUUUGUUGUCGGGAAUGUGAAUGAUCCCAAAGACAAGAUGAGCGAAAUUUCUCCUACAACUUCGACGACGUGUCCUGUAAAACCAACUAGAGGCAUUUGCACGGGUGUGAGUUUAGCAUUGGCUAUCCCUAGUUUUUCAAAAGCUGUAACGUCCACCGAACUACCGCCGUCUACUAAAAUUUGCAUUUCCAGGUACUUGGAAAUUGAUGCAGAAAUGACCAACGCAUCAUUAUAUUCACUACGUGGCCCCUAGAGGUCAACAUCGUUAAAGGCUAUCUCCAAGCUUGGGUGGUGAACAUGGUAAACAUGUCCCGCUGGACGUUCUGGCGUAGAGUAGGAUCCUCGUGAUGCCUGCAUUGAUGCGCGACAGGCGCUGGGGUGUCACCACUCGAUGGUAUUCCAGAAAUGACCGCAGUUACUCCUUGAGUCGGAAGAUUAUCGGCCACAAUCUUUCCGAGGAUUGGGACACUCUUCUUUAUGUUGAAAAUGUGGUUUACCUUUGAAUUUCGGGUGUCGUGGUGUAUCCACAAAUUCACUAAGGUGUCCCCUUCUUAAUCAGUCUUUCAAUUCUUGCUUGAGUUGGAAGCAUUCGUCGGUAGUGUGGCCCCGGUCUCGGUGGUACUCACAAUAUUUCUCCGAUUUUUUUCCUUUUUGGAUUUUCUUUCAUGUAUCGUGGAGGUUUGACCUAACCUUUCUCUUCUGCAUACUUCCAUGAGUUUUGAUUUUAGGGGAGUGAACUUUGGAUAUGUAGGGGCGUGGUUCGAGCAUCCUUCUUCUCUCCUUUUUGCCUCGUGGUGCUCUUCUUCGCGUUUCCUCUUGACGGGGAGCCCCAUCUCUACGGCUUCCUCUAUCCGGAUAUAUUUCUCGGCGUGGUUUAGAAGUUCCUCCAAGGUUUGUGGAGGUCGGCCCGCAAUGAACUCUCAGAAGCGAACAUGCUUUAAAUCGUGUUGCAGUAUGUCGGCUAACAGGUCGUGGUUAAUAUUAGGCACCUCGUGCACAGCUUUGACGAACCGUUGCACAUAAUGUCUGAGCGGUUCUCCUUCGCGUUGUUUGAGUCUAAAGAGUUAUGAUCCAGUCUUGGCGUAUUUCUUGUCGAUGGAGUACUAGCUAAGGAAAUGUUCUAAUAGCUGGUUCAGGCCGUCUAGGGAUCCUCUAGGCAGGCCGUUGAACCAAGUUUGUGUCUGGUUAGUCAGCAUAGUUUGGAAAAGUUUGCACAAGGCGGCGUCGGUGAGGCCAUAGAGAUCGAUAUUGGCAAAGAAAUUGUGUAAGUGACUUUGGGGAUCUCCGGUUCCAUCGAACUGGGGUGGAUUAGGGAUCCUAACUUCGAGUGGUAAAACUUCUUCCAUAAUGGCCGAAAUUAAGGGGCUUAUUUGGGCGGCGAACGCUCCAAAGCGAGCGGCCGUUGACCUCAAAGUUUCUCGUCAAUGGCUCCUUGAGUUAUGGUCAUCCAAGUCCUAGCGACGCCUUCUCGUCUCAACAGGUUGGGAAUAUCUACUCCUAGGUUCGUUUCAAAGGGAGUUGCCAUGGCGAGAGGAACGUUUGCGGUAUCUAUAUUCUCUGGACUCGUGGAGUUGUGGAACACCCGGCCGAGAAGAACCAUUUCUCUCUCGACGGCUACACGCCACCCUCCCCCUAGCUUGAAGGAGCCCUUUUCCUCAGGGGGCGCGGUGAUUGACCAUGCACUUCCUUUCACGGGGCCUGGUCCGAGGAUCACAUGCGUUGAGGCAACCCGCAUUGAGCGUACCUUUGGGGAGCAAAUUCUGAAGAAAGGCUCUGGUCGUUGAGUGACACUCUCUCCUCGGAGUCGUGGAGCUCCACGAUAGGUGGGGUCGCAUGGACGUGAGUGAAAUCCGUAGGGUCGCCCCUUGACGGAGUCGGCUCUUAAAAAUUGCUAACACCUUGAGCAUUGAUGUAUUUAGCUACCGCCUUUGCCGCCUCCCAAGUCGCUUCUUUGGCCGCAGUCUUAUCCAUCAUGGCUUGCAAUUCCUCCGCCGUCAUCUGAAUGAUCGGCGCUGAGGAUCUCCCAUGGUUGGUCGCUCCCGUCGUUCUCUUUCUUUGAGGCGGAUCCGGAUCCCGCCGACUCCUUGAUGGGGCGGACUGAGAUUGCUUUGACCACCUCCUUCCGUGUCACGUGAUCGAAUGUGCAUUCCCACAGACGACGCCAAAAUGAUGUUGCUCAAAUGUGAAUUGAGCAACCUAAGAGUCUUUGAGCUCGCAAUGAUAUAGAACGCCGAGAUUCACUGCCACGUGUCUCGAUGUAAUCUAUGGAUCCACUCGUUAAUCCUACAAAAUAGUUGAAUACACUGGAUGAAACGUGGGAAUUGGUCCGUCGAUUAUCAUGCGACGCUCAAGUAAGAAACUAUAAUAAUAUAAGUCAAUAAUAAUGAUUAAUUGCCAAAUUAGCAUGUACAUGUUAUGUGAAUUAAAACACAUAUUUAUAGAUGGAUGAGUAAGUACAACUUUUGUUAAAAACCAAUGUGGAACAAUGAGUUAUGGUUUAUAAGUAAAGGGGCAAUUUGCUAUAGGUCCUCUUAUAAGAGAUUAUAUGUGUUAAAAUCCAUCUAUUAAAUUCUAAUUUCCAGCAAAUAUUUUUAUUUAUAAUUUGUCAAAAGUACCCCUAUCAAUAUACGGUAAAAUAAAUCUUCAAAAUCAAAUCCCCUAUUUUUCUCCCUUUUAUACUGCAAAUCCGAAAAUUAGAAUUGCAAAAAUCAGGAAAUCGAUUUCUUCCCUGUUUCUUCGAAGCCAAAAUCUCUCCACAAAUUCUGAAGCCUUCCAUAGGUUUGGAUGUCUGAGCGUUUGCAGUUUUACCAGGUCGUUUGUAUUUUGCCUUCGUUCGAAUUGUUGUUACCCUAUUUGCCUUCGUUUGGUUUGUUGUUUACAAAUUGUUUGUUGUUCGGAAACAACGGCUGGUGUUUAGGGUUUGUUGUUUGAGCGUGUGAGUGUCUGAGCGUUUGCAGUUUUACCAGGUCUGAGCAUUUUUCCUUCAUUCCGUUUGCCUUCGUUCGAUUUGUUGUUUCCCAAUUUGCCUUCGUUCCGUUUGUUGUUUACAAAUUGUUUUUUUUUUCGGAAUCAACGGCUGGUGUUUAGGGUUUGUUGUUUGGAGUUCGUACGAUGGCCAAAACACGAUUAAGUCUUGGUAAGCAAUGAUCCUUUCUGUAAAAUUUUAUUUGCAUGUUGGGUUUUUAAUUUUGAUUUUUUUUCUUUCAUUAUUAAUUUUGUAUUUUGUUCCUAUUUUGAUUUUGCAUUUUGUUGUUUGCUAUGUAUUUCAAAUAUUUCAAUAAUAAUUUGAGAACCCAUUUUUUUCCCCUUAACAUCAAAGGAGGAUGAUGAUUUCCAAUCCCCGAAAUCAGGUAAAAAAAUUGAAGGGUUUGUUUAUGUUACAACUUUGGUUAUGUUUAUUCUAAAACAAAACGUGAACUAUUUGCUGUUUGCACAUUUUACAAUUUGUUAUUUGCACAUUUUAUUUUUCAUUUGGGUAAUCAGUUAACUAAGUUGGAUGUUUUGAGUUAGGUGUUUGCAAUUUGUUAUUAACUGUGGUUUGCACUUUAGACAUGAAUAUUUGUCUUUUGUUAUUUAAGUUUAGUGUGUCUAUUGUGAUGUUUACAUUUUAUAUUUGUGGUACUUAUCAUGUUGGUUUUUUGCAAUAUGUUUUUGUAUUUUGGUGUUUGCAGUCUGUUAUACAAUGUUUGUACAUUUAAAUUGUAGUUAACAUUUGCAUACUGUAUAUUUGUACGUACAUUUAGAUAUUUUCUCAUAUUUUGCACGUUGAUUUAUUUUUGAUUCGAAAUGCUUGGUUAUUAUGGCAUUGAUUCGAAAUGGUUGGUUAUUAUGGCAUAAGCAGAUAAUGGACUCUUGUGCGUACCUUUUGGUGAAACAACAAGAUGAAGAGCAUUUUGCAAGCGGCGUAGACCCCACACGUAUGGGGAAUAGUCUGAUAUUCCCCAGCUUGCUUCUGGUAUAUAUAAUCUAAUCUUUUUUAUAAGUCUUAAACACAAAAUUGGUAAUGUAAGUAAUAUCUUAUGUUUUUUCAGGGAGUUAUACGAAAAAUAUGAAACCAACUCAAAUGGUACAACACUUCAUGACGGGAAAGGAUGUGACCAAUUUCCGUUACUUACUUUUCCCGUUAAACUCAGGUGAAGGUCCCAUGAACAUAAUACCCCACUGGACUUUACUUGUUUAUGAUAGGAUUAACUGCUCGUGGGAGCAUUUCAACUCCUCAUUUCCUAGAAGAUUGGACGGAAAAGAAGAUCCAUUCUUGGUUGAUGCCAAAUAAAUGAAGAGUUUCAUGCAGAUUGCAAAUGGGAAGAUGAAAUUUGGUAUUAAGUCAGAGGCCAAAUUAGUUUCCGUUUUGACAUCACCACAACAAAAGCUUGAUUCAGUUGACUGCGGGAUGUUCGUCCUUUAUAUCGCACGACAAUUUUGUCGCCAACAACCCUUAGACAUUAAAGAUGCACAAAAUGGGGUAUGCGCAUUAUGAAGUGACUUUGUUCAUCAAUUCUUAAACGAUGAAGACACUGUGAACUUAGAUUAGCGCAUAAUGAUCAGAUUUUAGAAACUACCUUGAACUCUUGUUAUUUUGGAUAUUUAGUUUGGUUGAAUUUUGAUACAAUUAUAAUUUUGCAGUUGGUUGAACAUCCUUGUAUUAUCCUAUUAUUUGACGUACUCUACUAAUUGUUGCUAUUUUGGUACCUGAACUUAGUUGACGUACUUUUCCCCUUGUUUAUGUUACUUUUUUUAUGUUUGCAAUUUCAAUUUUCGCUAAUUACUAAGUAGGACAGUUUAAAAAAAUAAGACAAUUACUAGUUUUACACGUUUGCUCCUUAAAGUAUAAUAUUAUGCGCUGUGUUUUACACAUAUUGUUUGCUAACUAGUGCAACGAGCGAUGUAAUGAACCAAACAAAGUCGGCAGUUUCACUAAAAGUUUAUAGUUUGUUAUUUGUUUUUUGUUGUUUGAUGUUUACAACAUAAAAGAUGGAGGUAUGUAUUUGUUGAAUAACUUCGUGUUUGUUGUCUGUAGCAAAUUUACCAUUUGCUAAAUGGUAAAACAUGAACAUAAGCUAAUCAAAACAUGAACAUAAGCUAAUCAAAAUUUACCAUUUGCUAAAUUGUUCAUUUCAUUAUAAAUGGUAAAACAUCAACAUAAGCUAAUAAAAAAUAAACAAAAAAAAAAUUCAAAAAUAGAAGCUUGAAAAUGAUAGCACAAGUUCUUAAAUAAAACAUAAAAAGCAUAACCAAAAAGCAUCACCCCUAAAGAAUACAUCGGAUUUGUACAAGACUUUUUGUUGUGUUUACCGAGUUCUUUACAUCUUCCGCAUCUUAUUUUCCUCUUUAUCUUCUCGCCAAUAGACGGUAUCCUCUUCUUCUUUGGUCUACCACGACGUGUUUUAAAUUCAGGAGGGCAAACACAAUACAUCAUACCUGAACACCAAUUUUGUGGAGAACGAUAAACUGCAAACAAUAUUGAACGAAUAUUAAGUUGUAAAAACGACAAUUAAUAAAUCGAAAAUUCAAAACAACAAACAUCAAUUGACAACCAUUUGCGUAUAAUUCAAUUUCAUGUUGAUUGCAUCCGACACUUUCUUCAUCGAUACCAAUACAUCAUACCUGAACACCAAUUUUAUGGAGAACAAUAAACUGCAAACAAUAUUGAACAAAAAUUAAGUUGUAAAAACGACAAUUAAUAAAUCAAAAAUUCAAAACAACAAACAUCAAUUGACAACCCUUUGCGUAUAAUUCAAUUUCAUGUUGAUUGCAUUCGACACUUUCUUCACCGAUACCAAUACAUCAUACCUGAACACCAAUUUUGUGGAGAACGAUAAACUGCAAACAAUAUUGAACGAAAAUUAAGUUGUAAAAACGACGAUUAAUAAAUCGAAAAUUCAAAACAACAAACAUCAAUUGACAAACCUUUGCGUAUAAUUCACUUUCAUGUUGAUUGCAGGCCAAAAAAAAGGAUUCACUAAUUAUCAACACCGACUCUCGCGUUUAAUUAUAAUACGAUCGUAUUGGUCUCUCGAACUCUUCAUGAUGAUCUCAUAUUUCACUUGAAUCGACUAAGAUCUGUUUUCCAAGCGUCUUACACGAUACUCUGCCUUCAAUCGUGAUUAGUGGGAUUUGAUUUCCCAACUUUACGUAAAUAACUGAAUCGCCUAAAAUAUGUUUAUUCAAUAAGGGUACUUAUGUCUAUAUAUUCUUUUUAUUAUUUAAUUUAUAUUAUUUUUUUUAUGUGAAAGGACCUAGGCCUAUAUUCAUCUAGCAACUAGGACUUCUACCUAUAUAAGUACAAAAUAAGGGGUGUCUAGCAAAUUUCCCCAUAAGUAAAAUGUGUUCAUUGGAUCUUCAUAAUCAGUUAGAUUAACUUGGGCCUUUUGGACCUAAUCCAAAUUAGGCAAAUCAGAUAUCAUUAAUGACAUUCAUAGGGAUUACUAGGAAAUACCAUAUGAAAUUGUAUUAGUAAACAUGAUGGCAUUCCUCUAAAAAAAAUAAUAAUAAAUAAAUAACUUAAAAAGCUGGCCUUCAAUACCGAAUUUUCUGAUGAGAGAUCAUUUACUAUGAAUUAUGAUGAAAAAUCUGCAAACAAGUAUGUGGUCCAGUUCUAUUUUUUCAGCUUUGUUAUAAUUAUAAUUAAUGAUCUUUUAUGUUAUCAUGAUACUUUUUAAUUUCUCUCCUACUUCUCUUCAUUAUAAAUACCCCGAAACCCGAAUCGAAUAUUCACAAAGCAAAUCAGUAUCUCCUUCCAAUAUACAAUUGCUAAGAGUAUAUCGACAUUAGUCGAAGUAUCUAUACAUGGCUGCAGUUUCUCGAUCACCAUUGUCGCUUAAUAAGGUUGGUUGUGCAUUACUGAUGAUGAUUUGCUUCUUGGUAAUUAUAAUUACAUGUCCGGCUGAGGUAGAAUCAGCCGCAAUCACGUGCAGCGCAGUUGUGACGAGGAUCACUUCGUGCAUCGGUUAUGUCCAGAGAGGCGGUGCAGUGACACCUGCUUGUUGCGACAGUCUGAAAUUACUGAACGACGAAGCCAAAACAACGGCUGAUUUACAAGCCGCAUGCAGAUGCCUCACAGCGCUUAUACCUAGCGUUUCGCCUAACCCUAGUUUGGUUAACAGCCUUCCAGAUAAAUGCGGCAUCCCUUUUCCGUACAGAUACACCCCAUCGCUCGACUGUUCAACGUGAGUACAUUAGUCGAUCAACCGUAUAACAAGAUCAACAUUUCUCUUUCAUACAUAUAUAUUUGUAAGCAAGAAAUUAAUGCAUGGAUUAUGUUUUGUGGCUUUGAUUUAUUGCUGCAGGUUAACACGUUGAUUAGUUGACGAGACUUGCAAGAAGAGAAUAUAUUUGUGACGUGCGUGCUUAUAAAUAAAAGAGUGAAUAAAUAUAUACAAUAAGAUGUAUAUAUGUAUUUACUAUCUCUAUCUAAUCUCGUGCUUGUAAUAAAUAAAAGUAUGUGCCUGUUGAUGUUGCUGUGCUAAUUACGUCCUUGUGAAAAAAAAAAAUACUACAAAAUACGCCCCUAUGUUUUACGUCAGUGAAAAAUACAGUAAACAAUAUACAGACAAUCCUGGGGUAAACAGCAUAAAACCCCCCGUGUUAAGGAAAAUCAGCGCCAAAUCUCCCUGUGUAUGUUUUAAUUAUGAAAUUUUAUGGUAGUCUAGAUAAUACUUUUAUCUUCAUUUUGAUAUAAAUCAUGCAUAAAUAUGAUUUAUAUUGAGUGAGUUAUGGAUUGCUUUCUGAAUCUGCACAGUUUUUGAGUCAUUCAUGGAUUAUGUGUUUAAUACGACUUAAAACUAAUCUAAUUUAUAUGAUUCCACUUGGAUAUGAUUGUAUUUGAUCUACGAUAUAAGAGAUAUGAUUUUUCUAAGUUAAAGAACCAAAAACGUCAGAUUCUUCUAAAAUAAAUUAUUUGAAUGAAAAGAGAUGUUUGAAAGAAUAGUCUAAAUCUUUGAGGCUAAACUCAAUAAGACGAAUUGAACAUAGAUCAAGUUACAAAGAAGAUUAAGACGAAUUGAACAUAGAAUAAAAAUAUUGUAUUUGUAUGUGGUGAUAUGUGCUCUUACGUACAUGAUCGAAUGUCUUGAUCUAGAGGAAUAAAUUGAAUAUAGAUGACAUAGAAGCUUUAGGCUUAUCCCUACACGAAAGAACAUAGAGACAAGUACUUUAGGGCACUUAUAGGACGUGAGUGACACGUUAAGAGAGGCGCGAGUAUCGUCGGGCCAAAGUUAUUAAUGAGCCACUGGUUGGGCUCACGCUUUAUGAAAAUUCACUUUUUCAGGUUCUCGAAGUAAUCAGAGUGCGCAUCGAAGCAAAGUUCGAGGAAUCACGAACCUUAAUGCCUAGCAUGCCUUAUCCGGAAGUUUAUAUUUUCACUUUCGCUUUUGAAAAGGUCUUAUACAAAAAUAGAAAUUUUCAUGAUUUUAAUUUUUACUCUGAUUUAGGAAUCUAGUCUAUACUUUCUAUAAAAGUGUGAAUGAUAUGAAUGUUUCUACCAUUUUUUGUAUGGACAAAAAUAUCCUUUGGGUAUGGAAAAUUUGAAGGACAAUUAAGUACUAUGCUAAUAAUAAUAGCAAUUAAUUAAUACUUAUACAAAUAUUUUCACACAUCUUCUUCAUCUUUUUCUAAAUUUAUUAUUAUUCUUUUCCAUGGUAAAUAAACGACCUUUCAUUUUUAUGUACAAGGUAACACAUUUAAUAGUUUUGACGGACAACUAAGAGGGUGUUUGGCUAAGCUUAUUUUAAACAGCUGAUAAGUUCUUACGUCUGAUAAGAUGUUUUUAGAGCUGAUAAGUUGUGACAUCUUAUUUUUAGGAUUAAUUUUUAGAGUGUUUGGAUAAUGAGCUUAUUUCCUAUUUUUACUCAUUAUAAGAUGUUAAAUAAAAAGGUGGGGUAGAGGUACUUAUUUAAAAAUAUCUUAUUUGGUCUCCAACAAAUUAUUUAAAAAAAAUAAAGAUCUUUUUUUAAAAAAAUACCAAACACCUUGGAAGAGCUUAUAAGCUCUAAAACAUCUUAUAAGCUUCUUUUAACAUCUUAUAAGUUUAGCCAAACACCCUCUAAGAAUGAAGUAAAAUUUAUUCAUAGUUAUUAAUUAGUACGCCAUACUUAAAUAAGAUAAUUAAAACAAAAGAACAGUUUUUACGUUUACAGUUUUCACAUCUUCCUGAUCUUUUUUUUUCCUUUUAUUCUUUCCUUGGUAAAUGACCUUUUUGUUGGCACGAGAUUUCUAUUUGUGAAGAUUGAAGAAAUCCGCCAUACGUGGAAAUUAAAGAUUGGCAAAGAUUUGUUUUCCAUGUUUAUUUUGGAAUUAAUUAGAGUCCUAUUUUUGUAAUAUUGUUAUUAGGACUUAGAUUUAUUUCCAUGUAUUAUAUUCUAGUUAGGUAUCUUUUGUACUUAUCUAGAAUAGAAGUAGAAAUCGACUAGGAUUCUAUUACCUAGUUAAUCGAUUUCUUAGGGCCCAAGUUAGGUUUAGGGUGGUGGAUUUCGUGCCUAUAUAAGGCCCUCAACCUCAUAUGAGUCCGAUGGAGCUUUAAUAAGAAAAAUCCCAGCAUAAAGGCUUUGAAGGGUGCAGCCCGUGCUGCAGCCCUGUCUGCACGGCAGGUGUGGCAACAGAACAGGUUUCUUCUACCAGGCCAUAAAGAAGAUCGGCGUUUCGGGAGAAGUGCUUAAAAGAUCUCGGGAGAGGUCGAUCUGCCGUUUGAAGGAAGUUCAACAUUGGAGGAAGUCCAAGAGUGCGGAGGAGGAAUUGCUUUGAUUAUCAACAAGUUCGAGUCGUGUGCAAGAACGGCUUAUCACAUAAAGAGGGAGUCUUUAGUGUUUUAUUAAUUCCUAUUAAUGUACACUUAAAUCUGAACUAGUUUUGCAAGUCCUCGUGGAUGUAGGGUACAUUUGUAUCUGAACCACAUUAAAUUGGUGUGUUCUUUAUUCUGCUUUUCGUAGAUUUAUUACUGUGACAACACAACAAUUCUGUUACGUCACCUAAUGUCGUAACAUGUAGUCUGUCUCAACAGAUGAUUAGAUAUCCAUAGGCAUUUAAAAUCAACAAUUGGUAUCAGAGCGGGUCACUAGAUAUACUUAGUGUCCGAUUUUGGGUUUUGAUUUGUUUGCUUUGCUUAUUGGAUGACGUGUGUUCACAAGGAAGGUUGAGACGGAAGUCUGUCACGGCAUUCACCCAAUUCCGCUGCGUUGUAAUGUGCCCCGUGAUGGGACACUCUGAUAGAAGACCAAGACGGGUGAAGAAAAGUGGCAUCUCUGUUGCAGGGGGAGUAAAUCUCAUCUGCAGGGGGGGUUCUUGUUAAACAUGGAUUCUAACCAAUCUAUGCCAAAGGGGGAGAUUGUUGGCACGAGAUUUCUAUUUGUGAAGAUUGAAGAAAUCCGCCAUACGUGGAAAUUAAAGAUUGGCAAAGAUUUGUUUUCCAUGUUUAUUUUGGAAUUAAUUAGAGUCCUAUUUUUGUAAUAUUGUUAUUAGGACUUAGAUUUAUUUCCAUGUAUUAUAUUCUAGUUAGGUAUCUUUUGUACUUAUCUAGAAUAGAAGUAGAAAUCGACUAGGAUUCUAUUACCUAGUUAAUCGAUUAAUUAGGGCCCAAGUUAGGUUUAGGGUGGUGGAUUUCGUGCCUAUAUAAGGCCCUCAACCUCAUAUGAGUCCGAUGGAGCUUUAAUAAGAAAAAUCCCAGCAUAAAGGCUUUGAAGGGUGCAGCCUGUGCUGCAGCCCUGUCUGCACGGCAGGUGUGGCAACAGAACAGGUUUCUUCUACCAGGCCAUAAAGAAGAUCGGCGUUUCGGGAGAAGUGCUUAAAAGAUCUCGGGAGAGGUCGAUCCGCCGUUUGAAGGAGGUUCAACAUUGGAGGAAGUCCAAGAGUGCGGAGGAGGAAUUGCUUUGAUUAUCAACAAGUUCGAGUCGUGUGCAAGAACGGCGUAUCACAUAAAGAGGGAGUCGUGUUUUAUUAAGUCCUAUUAAUGUACACUUAAAUCUGAACUAGUUUUGCAAGUCCUCGUGGAUGUAGGGUACAUUUGUAUCUGAACCACAUUAAAUUGUUGUGUUCUUUAUUCUGCUUUUCGUAGAUUUAUUACUGUGACAACACAACAAUUCUGUUACGUCACCUAAUGUUGUAAUAUGUAGUCUGUCUCAACAGAUGAGUAAAUAUCCAUAGGCAUUUAAAAUCAACACUUUUCAUUAGAAAUUGAAAUUUCUAUGCAAUCUUAAACAAGCACCGGCAUCGUUGCCGCAGUAGCCACCAUAAUCGCCACAGACAUUUAUUCAUCCAAAGGUAAAUCCCUCUUUCAUAACCUCAACGUGAUUUUGAAAUUUGGUAUAUAUAUAUUUUUUGAGACUACUAUUACUACCCUGUGUAUUUUUAUCUGAUUUUCAGUGUUGAUGUUGGUGUUUUUAUUUUAUUUCCACUAAUGAUAUUGUCACGACACGUGCAACGCACGUGCACAUGCCUAGUCUAUUAAAAGGGGGUGUUUAAAUCAAGUUUAUUUUUCUUCCGCUGUCUAGUAUUUUCUAAACCCUGAUGAUGUUUUAGUUGUGGGUUAUAUUUAAAGUAAAGGAAAAUAAUUUGAUAAAUUCUAAACUUUUUAUGUCAAAGUUCAAAUUGAAUCCGAAUUUUUAGUAAAGUUAAUUUUUUUUUAAAUCGUAUACUUAAAUAUUUCUUAUUUACGUAAAAUUCAUGAAGGGUGUUACACAGUGAGUGAUUCCUUCUUCCUCUAAAUCUGGUCAAUACAUUCUCUGGAUUUCUGAAGGGUUGCUCUGAGGUGUUACCAGGCCUAACAUGCUCCUUCCCUCUGUCGUUAUUCAUGGGUCUAACCAGAUCUUCGACUGCUGUGUUCAUGUCAUCCAUCUCCUGGUUGCUGGUUUCCAUCUCAGAUCUUAAUACAGUGAGAUGUCCUUGGAUCUUGUCAUUGAACGCUAGUUGUUCUUCAAUGAAAGUAUCCACCUCAAUCGGGUUCGUUUCUCCUGCCUCUGUCAUGUUCGGUGCUCGAGUAACCAUGUUCAAAGUGUUGGGAAUCAAUUACGUGUACGCGGCGAAAAACCAAACAAAAAAAUUAUUUGAAAAACAAUUAAUCAAAUAAACACACCUGCACAAUUAAAGUAAUUAACUGUAUACCUGAUUUCUUGCAAUCACUAUAUACAUACUAGCGAUUAAUUUAAAUUGCAUAAAAUUAAAUCAAUUAGCAUGCCCGGUAAUUUAAAUCUUAUAAUAAGCUUGUUCAACAUACGGUUUCACAUAAGCACGCAAUAAUACAUGCAAUAUAUGUGAUUCGAAAUUAAUUAAUAUAUACUAAUCAUAAUUAAUAUCAAUUAAUUAAAACUAAUAAAGGAUAAUCAUAUAAUUACCCUUGAAGCGUGAGAUGUAUGUAUAUGGCUAGCAUCUCAACAACCCCUUUGGAUCUGUUCCGGAACAACGGGGGCGCGGCGGCGGCGUGUGAUAUUCACACGCUGACGGUGGCGGCACGUGGGAGCGCGUGCGGCAACGGCGGCUGCUGAUUUAUUUUAUAACUUACGUGGCACUAGAUACCCAGAUGUGAGAACAAAAGAAUCGAAAAAAAAAGAAGAAGACUACCGACAAAUCGGCGGCGUGUGGCGGCGAGGGGCGACGGUGGCGGCGGUUGGAGAGGGGCGGGCAAGAGCGUGUGAGAGAGGGAGGCUAGGUUUUUCAAUGAGUCUUGUGUUAUUUCACAAGACCUAUUAGUUCCUAUUCAUAGUGUCUUGUGAUAUAACCCUAUUGGGCUUAAGUCGGACUGACCCCAACAGUUUAAGUCCAAUAUAAUUCAUUUGCUCGUUUCUCUCAAACUAACGAUCGGAAACCCUAGUUUAGGGGAACUGCUCAAUCGGGAAACUUUUCGAUUUAGAAAGUUUGCUAAAUGUUUGCCCAUUUCUUUUUCUCUGUUCAUUCUUGUUCAUAAUCAACAAUUACGAAUGUUGGACUCAUUCAUAUUUAGUUCCAAUUAUGCAGAGUUCACCUCUGACCCUUCAUUCAAGGAAUUCAAUUAAACGAGAAGUCUGACCCUCGAUGGUUCAUGUAUAAGCUAGCCGUGGGCCCACAACAAAUUGUGAUUCAAAGUCGUCCCCAGAGUUAUGUUUGAGGUGAAACUAAUUUCAACUCAAAUACCCAACGAAUCAAGAUUCGCGCCUAGCAGCAAUGCAUAAUGAUUUUCUAGAUACAAAUGAAGUGCCUGCAAGAACCGUUUGAUAUAGUUAACAUACAGUACGACCCCUUCGAUGCAAUGUCCCGAUUGAACUAGAGGCAUUAGUUCACUGAGACCUCUUUUAAAUUUCAAUUACUGCGUGAACGUUCUUAGUAUUGUAAUCAAUUUAUGUAUGACUUAGAAAAAUAUAUUUCCCUAAUGAUCACAUAGUCAACUCUGGCCAGAGACUAUAGUCACAAACUAUAAGAACACACAAGACAUCCAUGACUACUCAAGCGAUCGAAUCUCCUACUACAAUGCACAGACCCCCCACUAGAUUUCAGACUAUACGAACACUGGCCCUUGGAGCAGUCAUGGGUGGGACUCAGGGACAUGCCACGAUACAGCUGGUCCUCUAGUGAAGUCACGGUGAUGUCUGGGUCGAAACGACUAAUGGUGUACAACUAUAUCAUAGAAACCUCUGUUCAAUUAUUGGGAACCACUUGGAGAUUACUAGGACGAGGGAGUUCAGUGAACUCAAUGAUAUAAGCACCCACUGAUGUAUGGGAUAUCACAAUACCAAUUACUGAUGAGAUACAAUACACAUACACUAAGUGCUAGUCUCUAGUGAGAAAUGCCGAUAUCCUGAUUAAUGGCAUAACCCGUUGACUAGGAACUGCGUUUAACAGUUAUAUUACUAUAUUAAAUAUCUCACGAUUCGACUAGACCAUUUAAUAGUAAUUAGAAUAAUUGUAAGGACUAUAUCUGAUGAUACUAAUUAGUUAGAUCACCUGAUGUAGUGUAAAAAACGAGCAGGGAGAGCAAAGCAGAUCAGUAGCUUGACAACUUGAUGAUCCUGAGGUCCCUGCAAAAUGAGCUCACAUGAACUAAGCCGGGGGUUAAUCCGGCGGAAACCCCUCCGACGCUCAAGUCAGACGUGCUGAUCAUAGAAAUAGUCCAGAUAAUACAUAUUAUAGUAUUGCUCAGUUAAUAGGACGUACCUUAAGGAAUGAGUUCAAACCUUUACUUAUAGUUUAGUUGAGAUUGUCGGGCCCAAACCUUACUUGAAGGUGAUUGGGCCUCGGUGAUAAUGGUCUUCGAUAUUGGGUUCGUGGCCCAGUAUGUAAGGAAAUUGUAGGCCCAUUGGGUUGGCCCAAUUAGGCAUAUCAUUAAGCCCCCCACUCUCGAGUCGAUGUGGGGGCCAUGUUGAAAUGGGUGACAUAUCGUGUCGAGAGUAAAAAUAUUAGUAGUCGAUGGUGUGCGAAAACGCGUUGGAGCGUGUGUCGGAGGGGCGUGAAGGCGCGUUGGCGCGUAGCGCGACCAAGUUGUCGCGAUGUAAGUGACUUGAGUCGUCGGUGUCGUCCCACGACGAUGUGGUAGCGCAGAUCAAGUUAUCUCCUCGUGGGAGUUGUCUCGUCGUGGGGUAAUAGAGUUAAUCGAGUUAUCUCUUCGUGGGAGUUGUCUCUUGAUGAUGUAGUAGCACGAAGCUAGUAUUCUCCUCGUGGGAGUUGUUAUUUAUCGACAUUGUUAAUGUUUUGACGCGUUGCUUGUAUGUUUUUACAUAUAGCUUUCUGCGUGAUGUACUUGAGGAGGGGAUCAGGCUCUCAAGAUUUUUAUAUAGGGAUCGUGCCCUUUGUUAGACCUCGUGGGUCGUAAGUAUGUUUGGACCGUGGCCACGUUUUAAUGAAGGUCCCAUCGGAAACAAGUAGAUAAAUUUGAGUAAUCAAGCUGGCCAGGCUAUAUAGAUUCCCAUAAUAUUUCUAAGUGUUUCUAGGCUUGUAAUCGUGUUAACUUGAGCUUGUGAUUAUAUAGUGAAUUUCGGGUGAGUUGUCUCCUCAUGGGAGUUGUCUCGCAACGAAGUUGUAGAAGCAUUAGAUGAUGCGCGACUGAGGAGCGUGCGUAUUGAGGUCGCUCUGAGCGAGUUGUCUCCUCAUGGGAGUUGUUUCGCGGCGAGUCUUAUUAUCGAGCGAGGUGGCUGCACGUGGGAGUUGCCUUGCAACGGAUUUGUAGUGCCGAGCGAGUUGGCUCCUCGUGGGAGUUGCCUCGCUGCGGGUUGUGGUACCGAGCGAGUUGGUUCCUCGUGGGAGUUGCCUCGCAACGGGUUGUAGAACGGAGCGAGUGGUCUCCUCGUGGGAGUUAUCUCGCUGUGGUUUCGUAGACCCGAGGGAGUUGGCUCCUCGUGGGAGUUGCCUCGCCAUGGGUUAUAUGACCCAGCGAGUUAUCUUCUCGUGGAAGUUGUCUCGCAACGGGUUGUGGGACGGAGCGAGUGGUCUCCUCCUGGGAGUUAUCUCGCUGUGGUUUCGUAGACCCGAGGGAGUUGGCUCCUCGUGGGAGUUGCCUCCUCGUGGGAGUUGCCUCGCAAUGGGUUAUAUGACCGAGCGAGUUAUCUUCUCGUGGAAGUUGUCUCGCUAUGGGUUGUGGGACGGAGCGAGUGGUCUCCUCGUGGGAGUUAUCUCGCUGUGGUUUUGUAGACCCGAGGGAGUUGGCUCCUCGUGGGAGUUGCCUCGCAAUGGGUUAUAUGACCGAGCGAGUUAUCUUCUCGUGGAAGUUGUCUCGCUAUGGGUUGUGGGACGGAGCGAGUGGUCUCCUCGUGGGAUUUAUCUCGCUGUGGUUUCGUAGACCCGAGGGAGUUGGCUCCUCGUGGGAGUUGCCUCGCAAUGGGUUAUAUGACCGAGCGAGUUGUCUCCUCGUGGGAGUUGUCUCGCUGCGGGUUGUAUUACUGAGCGAGUUGGCUCCUCAUGGGAGUUUUCUCGCAAGCCCCCCACUCUCGAGACGAUGUGGGAGCCACGUCGAAAAGGGUACCGGAUCGUGUCGAGAGUAGAUCGGUGCUGUAAUGUUUCGUUAAUCGUUGGCGUGGCGUGGAUAAAUAAUAUUUUUUAUUUAUCCGUUUGAUAGCGAACGCGAUUUGGUAGGGGGCGUUGAAGAGCUCGCGCAAUUUGGUUAAGCGAGGUGGAACUAUCAAGCGAUUUGGUGGAGCGCGCAGAAAUUCUGACGCGAUUUAGUAAAGUGCGUCAAAAUCUUGACGUGAUUUGAGGUAGAAUUUUGAGAGUUGCGCGCGACCUCAGGUAUGCGCGCGCUACGAGAUAGGACGCUGAUGUGCCUGAGUUCGCGCGCACUUGGGGUCCGUGCGCGCACUAGCCCACAUGGGGGGGGGGGGGGGGGACGCGCGCAUGUAUUGCACAGAGAGAGAGAGAGUGUGGAGCUGUUAAGAAAUUUAUGAGGAGCUGAUAGGGACUUCCUCGAGAGUGACGCAGCAUGUUGCUUUAAUCGCUUUUUCCUCCUCUUUAUUUUUUUUUUGGUCUCGGGAAGCGUGCCGGAUGCGCGCCUCAAGAGUCGUGCCCGCACGCGCCUCGGUAAUCGUGACCAAUUUUUUUUUUGUCUCGGGAAACGUGCCUGUUUUUUUUGCCUCGGGAAACGUGCCCGUUUUUUUUGGCCUCGGGAAGCGUGUCGGAUGCGCGCCCUCGGGAAGCGUGUCGUGCGCGCCACGUGAUUCGUGCACGCGCGCACCUCGGGAAUCGUGCCCGAUUUUGUUUUUUUUUUUUUUUUUUUUUCAAAUUGGCUCGGGCGCGCGCGCAGCUUGGCUGCUCCCCCUUUUUUUUUUUUUCUGAUUGGCUCGGGCGCGCGCGCGGCUUGGCUCCGGCGCGCGCGCGGCUUGGCUCGCGGCUUGGCUUCUCCCCUUUUUUUUUUUUUUUUUAUCUUCUUCUUUUUUCUUCUUCUUCUUCUUUUUCUUCUUCUUCUUCUUCUUCUGUUUUCUCAUCUUCCUCUUUUUUUUUUUUUAUUCUUUCUUCUCAUUCUUUCUUCUCCUUUUUUUCUUGUUUCUUUUUUCUUCAUCUUCUUCUUUUUCUUCUUAUUUUUUUGUUUUUAGGUGGUCGAUGUUCACCCCUUUGGGGAUAUUCUAUUUUUUGAGUAGGGAGAUUAUACUCGUCUCUUGAGAUGUGAUGUGCACCCACUUGGGGUUGAAAGGUAAAGGUGAUGCCCACCUUUGGAUGGGGAUGUUUUAUUUUUUGAGUAGGGAGAUUAUACUCGUCUCUUGAGAUGGGAUGUGCACCCACUUGGGGUUGAAAGGUAAGGGUGAUGCCCACCUUGGGAUGGGAUAAUCCCCUACUUUAGAAUGAGGCGCUCGAGACCUAUGGUCAGAGGUGGGUGCGCACGGUUGUGCCAUUGCUUCUGUGGCAACACGAGUUGAAACUUUCGCGGUCGUACGCUGAAGGUCCUUAUCGGUUAUCUGAACCGUUAGAGGAGCAAGUAGAAGUUGAUUUUGUUGAAGUUUCUGCGAUCAUACGCUGAAGGUCCUCAUCGGUUAUCUGAACCGUUAGAUGAGCAAGUAGAAGUUGAUUUUGUUGAAGUUUAUGCGAUCAUACGCUGAAUGUCCUCAUCGGUUAUCUGAACUGUUAGAGGGAGGGCGGAGGUAGGCCCCAGGGAGUCGAUAACCCUUGGCGAACGAAAUGUUUUGGGGGCACUGUAAGCCCCCAGGGAGUCGAUAACCCUUGGCGAACGAAAUAUUUUGGGGGCAGAUGUAAGCCCCCAGGGAGUCGAUAACCCUUGCUAGCGUUGAAGGGCCUCCUCGGUUGUCUGAACCGAUCGAGGGGCGGGAAGAAGCGAAUCCUGUUGAGGAUCUAGUGGGACAUCCGAGGAAGGUCUCGUGGUGGAUCCCGAGUACGAGGAGGAGGAAGUGGCAAGCCAGAGCCUCCACGAGGUGGAAGGUCGUUAGCUGUGUCAUUUUCCCUCCGAGCAGACGCCUCAGGAGGAUCUUGUUGGCUACGUGAUCUGGUUUGCAUCGUUUCCACAGACGGCGCCAAAAUGAUGAUGCUAAUUAGUUAGAUAACCUGAUGUAGUGUAAAAAACGAGCAGGGAGAGCAAAGCAGAUCAGUAGCUUGACAACUUGAUGAUCCUGAGGUCCCUGCAAAAUGAGCACACAUGAACUAAGUCGGGGGUUGAUCCGGCGGAAACCCCUCCGACGCUCAAGUCAGACGUGCUGAUCAUAGAAAUAGUUGAGAGAAUACAUAUUAUAGUAUUGCUCAGUUAAUAAGACGUACCUUAAGGAAUGAGUUCAAACAUUUAUUUAUAGUUUAGUUGAGAUUGUCGGGCCCAAACCUUACUUGAAGGUGAUUGGGCCUCGGUGAUAAUGGUCUUCGAUAUUGGGUUCGUGGCCCAGUAUGUAAGGAAAUUGUAGGCCCAUUGGGUUGGCCCAAUUAGGCAUAUCAAUAUCCAUGCGCGUGCAAGAGAUAAAGAUAUAAAGUCCCAAAAUUGGAAUUUAUUAUUAAUACGAAAAUAGUUAUUUAUUACAAUAAAUAAAUGGACCACAACCACAAAAAUUAGCUUGUUGAUCAUCUAACUCAACACAAAGUGGAAAUGAUACCCGAGAAUCGAGUGCUCUGGAAUCAAAUGUUAUGAACUGAGAGUUUUAUAAUAUCUAGUAAAUAAACAUGCAUGAAAAUAAUUAGAAAAUUGAAUAAUACAACGUUGGAAGUGUUUCUGUAGAGAAAAGUUGAAUGGUAAUACAAAAAUGGAAAGCUUGGAAGAAAGGUAAAAUCUAUCUGCCCUAGUUAACACUACACUAGCCAACAAUUUGCCUAAAUUCUCCUCUGCCUAAGAGUACUAUAUAUGCAGGCUUUAUCUAGUGGCUUGUAGCAAAUAAUUAUGUGCUUCGCGCUGACAUGGACAGUCCUGCACAUAAACAGAAAUGUGCAAUCAAUAAGCUGUAAUGGUGGAAUUAAUUGAGAACAUGUUAUUUAAAAUAUCUAUUUGGAAGAUAUUAUGUAUCUUCUAAUAACAUAUAUUAAAAACACGUUAAUUAAUUAGUUAGGGGCAUAAUAGUGAUAAUUAAAGGUUUUUGUUGUAAAUAGUAUGGAAUGUGUGGUUUCCUAACAUAACCAGUGGCGGAUGUAGCCAUGGUCUAGGGUGUGCAGUUGCACACCCUUGAUUUUCAGAAAAUAAUACUAUUAUACAUAAAAUAACUGAAAAUGCAGUUGGUUGAAGUGGUAAAGAUAUGUCUUGAACUAUUAGCAGAUCAUGGGUUCGAAACCCACCCUCACAAUAAUGGAAUUUUUUUGAAAUCUUAACAUUUUUCAACUUUUUGGUUUUUAAAUAUUUCCACAAUUCACCUAAAAUUUGUAAAUUAUAAAUUUUUGGUCCACUAUUUUUAUAAAGUGAUAUUUUAAUUUUUUAUUCUACAAUUUCGAACCCCCUUGGCAAAAAUCCUGGAUCCGCCACUGAACAUAACCACUUGAUGGUUUUCAACUUCCCACUAGUUUAUUAACUUCCCAUAUAUGGUGUUAGUGGCGAUGUAACUUCUACGUAACUUGCACAUGUAACUCCUUUGUAACUUCCCGGUGGUUACCACCUAUAUAAAUGAGAAACACUCCCUCCCCACGUAUCCCACAAUUUUCUCUCUACGGAUUGUUGUUCUUUGCAUUCUUUCUUUCUCUCUUUGUCUUGUUAUUUACAUUCUUAUGUAUUUUCACAAACACAAACCAAAGAGCUAGACAAAUAGGCCAUUUUACAACACGUUAUCAGCACGGAAUGCUCGUUGUGAUCGUGGAAAGACAAUCGUUCGUGGCACUAGGAUACUUGAAGAAUUUGUGAUUCAGGUGCUCGUGAAAAAUGAACCAUUUUUGGCACGUGGAUGCUUGAAGAACUUGUGAUUCGAGUUCGUUCGUGAAAUGGUAAUCUUGUUCGAUGAAUACAAUAUAUUCUUCAACAUUUGGGUUUAAGCGUUUCAAGUAAGCCGUAAUCCCUUGCAAUUUUGAUUUCAUAAUAGAUGCACUAGAUCUAUUUAAUGGCAUGAAAUGCAUGAAGUACAUAUUUAUCUUCAAGUCAUUACUUCAUUUAUACUGUGGAUAAUUUCAAAAUAUGAUGUGAUUCGUAAUUAUUGGAAGCAUGCUUAAUUAUGUUAUAGGAUGGUAUAAAUAUGAUUGUUUUUGGUAUGUGGUGUAGCAAAUUAUUUUAUCAUUUGCAUUCAUUCCGGAUUCAAUGAAUAGCGACGAUAAAUGUGUGAUUGUAUAUUGUCAAAUAAUUAUAAUACCUUGCUGGUUUAUUUUAUGUUUCGAGGAUUUGAUAUGAAAUUGUAUUAUGAAUGUUUAAUCAUAAUAUUUAGAAUACAGUGCACUAAGAAGCUUAUGAAUAAAUAUGCACUGUAGAAUGAGGGGUGAAUAUAUUUGAUGAUGAAUGUGAAAUUGUUUAUGUUUCUUACUGAACGUGAUUGUAGCCAUAUUAAUAGAAUUUUUUUUCUCGGUUGCAUUUGUAUUGCAUGAAUUGUUAGAAAAUUUUGCUACAAUAACUUGGUCAUUUCAUUUUAAGAUGAUCUAAUGCACUGCUGAUACUUGAUAGCAUUAUGGAUCUAUUUAGUUAAUUCAUGAUUACCUACCGGAAUAAUUUCAGAAUUAGUUCGUGGAAUUUAUAUGAGAUUGUACAUGCUAUAUAUUGUUUAUAUUAUUUAGCAUGUUAUAUUUUAUAUAUUUGACAAUUUACAAAGUCUUAAUUGCAUAAAGAUUUUGGUCCAUCUCUAAUGGAGAAUUCUAUUCAAUUGAUCCAUAUCUGCCAUAUGUAAUUUUGUGAUAUGGAAAUGGUAAACAAUAUUUCGUUCGUCGUUAUGGUUUAUCGUAUGUAAUCCAUGAAUGUGUAUGAACAUGUGGUGUAUGAAUUAUUAGACCGGAAGUUCUAAUAUGUGCAAAAUAUUCAUGAAAUUGUUUAUGGAGGUUACAUUCCCAUAAAACAAUAAUACUCCUUAUUGUAUUUGAUUUGAGAUAUAACACAUGAGCAAACUCAAGUUUACCCAACUUCAUGUAUCUGGUGAAAGUUAUAUUAGUUGGAGAAUGGAUGUUAAGAUCCAUGCGCUUAGUGGCCAAUUGAGAAUGAUUGUUUUCGAGGAUAAUUUAUUAGGUAAAGCCCAGAAGGCUGAGACUAUGUUCUGAUUACGAGAUAAUUAGAUGAAAUCCUUCGUCAUGGACGAUUCAUCAAAUGAUGGGUUCCCAUAAAGAAUGGGAUAACCUGACUAGUCGUUUUGAUUACCAAAAGACAAUAUACUUGCCGGAAGCAAGGAACAAGUGAAUUCAUAAACGAUUUGUAUAUGAAUUUUAAAAUCCGAAGAGAGCUCAAAAUCAGAACAUAGAUAUAUGUUUUAUAUAUGGUGGAUCUAAGAAUUGGUCGCGCACCUGAAGUGCGAAGAACGUUGGGGCUGGAGAUGCAAAUAAUAAUGCACCAGCCUAGACUGAGUUAGUGGAGGUAAAAUUUUUCAAUAUAUAGUCCAUCGCUCAGCUUCCAUACUUGGGCACAUCUGACCAAAUAACCCAUGUUGGGAUAUGAUUGAACUGUUGAUUUCAUGCAUUAUGUUUAUUUUAUUACUCGGGUUUAUUAGUUUAUUGAAUUUCAAUCAUCUUACUUCAUAUGCUCAUGUUAGGAACCAUAUUCAUAUUUUGAUUAUGUCUAGUUUAUACUCUAGACCAGAUAUUUAUGCUCUAAGUUAAUUAUUAUGUUAUUCAGUGGUGUUUGCUUGAUGAAUUUAUUUAGUACCUGAAGUACUGAAUAUAUAUGAUUAGAUUUAUAUAACUCUAUAGACAUGACAUGUGGGGAUAAAUGUCUGGCAGAUAGUGCGACAACACAUACUAUCCUGAGAGAUGUGUCGUACUUAAUUAAUUUCAUGUCUAUUUGUAGCAAGACCUCUUUGAUAACUAAAUGAGGCCCAUGUAGUUUUGAUAGAUGGUUAUGGUAAUGUCCACAUUAUAUUAUCUAAUGGCACAAUAUUGCCCAUUAAAGUAGCUCAUUUUUUUCUCCACGUUCCAGUAGAACGUUGUUAAACUUUAAAGAUAUUUGAGCUAAUGGUUAUUAUAUUGAAACCAUUGAAGACAAGAAAUUGAUAUAUGCAUCAUCUCUAACGUGUACGGCCAGGAGCGUACAUUAGGAAUUUUCGACACGAUUAUGUAGAACCACAAUUUGUAUGCCAGAAGCAUAAGUUGUCGAUUGCUCGAAAUUAAGUAAUUUGAUUAUAUGUCGGCAUACGCAUAGACAUAUAAUGAUUCAAUUCCUUUAUUGGAAUUAAUCUAAGAAGAUAUAGGUGAAAUAUGUACCACCAUCUAUAACUUAAAUUUAGAACCUUAGACAGGCGAUCUCUUACCCGCUCAAAUUGCGGACUGUCACUUUGAUGAGACUGUCUUCCCGCCGUUAGGGGGAGGAAGAACGUCCACACUAACGUUCCUGGAGAACGGCGUGAAGUCGUGUGGGACGACCCCUCCGUGUCUCAUUAAGAUCCUCUACAUCAGAGAUUGCUAUAUAGAUUAAUAGAUCAUCCAUACUAACGUUCCUGAAGUACGACGUGAAGUCGUAUGGGAUGACAAUAUAGAUUUGCAAGUAAUAUCCAUACUAACGUUCCCGAAGAACGGCGUGAAAUCGUAUGGGACGACUUAGAAAUCUGCAAAGAACGUCCAUACUAAUGUUCCUAAAGAACAAUAUGAUGUCGUGUAGAACGAAUAAUGCCAUACUCAUUAUCUGAUUUGAAAAAGUGACGAGAUCUCAAAUAAGCCAGUAAUGACAGAUGUCCUAGAAGGAUAAAAUAUGGGUAGGUCAUCAAUCCCUGCUAACCAAUCUUGCCUCCCUGCCUAGAAGAGGGGGAGAGCAAUGGGAUCAAAGGAUUGUCAUCUCCAGAAGAGAAUAAUGCCCAACAUCGAAUCCGGUCAGCACAAGUACCAAUGGGAUCCCACCUGAUCCAUCUCAUAAAAAAAUUCUAGAAUAUGGAUUCGUCUAGGAGACGAAGUCGGGGGACGCCUUGACAUCAAUAUCCAUUCCCGGGAAUAGGAAAAUCAUCGAUGACAAAUUUCCUUACACAGUAGCUACUGAACUUUUUAUUGGGUAAUGAUAUAUAACCUUGAUCAAAUAAGUGUAAACAAAGGGAUGAUGGGCCGAAAUGAGAGAAAAAAAAAACAAUACGAGCUGAAUUUGAUUCCUUGAUAAAAUGAAGAGUGUAGAGACCAGUAGUUCCUACAACUCCUUGAAUUUCACCCAUAUUCGGAAUAUAAGUGAGUACUCGCAAAGGAAUGAAAUGAGAUUGGGAACCAGAAGAUUCAUCUCAUAGCUCAAAUGAGAUUGGGAACCAGAAGAUUCAUCUCAUAGCUUAAACGAGAUUGGAAGCCAGGAGAAUCAUCUCAUACUCAAUCAAUGAAAUGAGAUUGGGAACCAGAAGAUUCAUCUCAUAGCUCAAAUGAGAUUGGGAACCAGAAGAUUCAUCUCAUAGCUUAAACGAGAUUGGGAACCAGGAGACUCAUCUCAUAGCUCAAAUGAGAUUGGGAACCAGAAGAUUCAUCUCAUAGCUUAAACGAGAUUGGGAACCAGAAGAUUCAUCUCAUAGCUUAAACGAGAUUGGAAGCCAGGAGACUCAUCUCAUACUCAAUCAAUAAAAUGAGAUUGGAACCAGAAGAUUCAUCUCAUAGCUUAAACGAGAUUGGGAGCCAGAAGACUCAUCUCAUAGCUCGAACGAGAUGUGAAGCCAGAAGACUCAUCUCAUAGUACAAUGAUUUAUGGGCAAAUGAGAUUGGGAGCUCGAAGAAUCAUCUCAUAAUUAAAGGAUUUCCUCAACAACCUGAGAUUGAUUUUAAAGAGCUAUACUCUCUCAUGAUGAAUGUUAUUAAAUACGUGGUCACAAAGUAUCAAAUGGGAAUCUAGAUACAAGUAUUUAUAUGAAAGUUCCAGAAGGACUUCGAUUUCCCGAAGCAAUUAGUUCCAGAUCACGGAACAUAAACUCAGCUGGGCUGAGACGUUCACUUUAAUUAUGACUAGAAAUAUUCCAGAAGACUAUAGGACAAUUUCCUAAGUGAACAAUUGCUCAGAAGAGUAUAGGUGAACAAUAAUUGGUUUUGAUUGUUCCUAUUACUACAAUUUAUAGUAAGGACAUAAACUUGAUUUAGACUAGAAGUCAAGUAAGAAAAACUCAAUUAUUGAAAAUUUGAGUUCAAGAUCGAAGAUCUAAAUGAGACUAAUUUGUUGUCUCUAACCACUUAAAAUUUAUCAUGUCAAUUAUAUUUUUGUCCAUCAAUCGAAUUACAUCCACAAGAUGUUAUGGAUAAAGAGAAAUUAUCGAGUAACACCUAUGGGAGUUUGACAGUGGAAUAGGUCCAAUGAUUCAUUUUGUCCCAUGGAGGAGGACGAGGAAGUGUUAGCACCAAAAGUGCCAUAUGUGAAUGUAAUAUAUGCAUUAUUAUGCUUAACUCCAUGUACUCGAUAUAAUUUAGCGUUUUCGGUAAAUUUAUUAGGUAGACUUAUCUCACCUUACCGACACGCCCUAUACAUCAAUGAAUGAUGCGAAAACUUGUGAUUUAUAUUGGCAUUAACUAGAAGUCAUAUCCACACAAAGAUCAUUCCCAAUCUAUGGUUUAGUGUUGGGAAAACAACUAUGUCUUGGGGUUCUAUGAAAUGUACCUUAGUUGUCACUAGGUCAAAUCAUGCAUGAUGUUUGCUUCACGAGAUAGUGAGUGAAUGCACAUGGCCUGAAGCCAUGAUUAGGCAUGUUCGAGAUUUUUGUGAAUUGGCUACCACAAAAGAUCCUAAGAGAUUGUAUUUAACUGCAUUGAGCAAAUGAAGACGAGCUUCAUUAAAGGUGACAACUCCAAGAACAUAGUUAUGAGGUUUUCUUCAAUCAACAAUAAUAAGAGCUCAAACAAUAAUGAUUCAGUAGAUCAUGAAACAUGAUAACUACGCUGACUUAUUUACUAAUUUUUCGCCUAAAGUCACUUUGGAAAAGUAUGUUAAGGAUGCUGACUUGCGUAGAUUAUACAAGCUCGCUCCCUUGUAGACAUCAUGGGGAGUUAAUUUGAGGGGGAGUACCCUGUAGGUACUCAGUAUCCAGAAGAUACCUGAGUGCCCUGUUGUACUCUUUUUCCUUCGUGCGAGGUUUAUUUUUCCCACAGGGUUUUAGUUACUCGACAAGGUUUUAAUGAGGCAACAUUUGUUGAUUGAAAAGAUUGUACGUUGUACUCUUUUCCCUAACCGAGAUUGUUUUUUCCCAAUGGGUUUUAUAACUCGGAAGGUUUUAACGAGGCAACACAAAAAGCACAAUAGUGGUUUGAUAGGAACCCAAGGGGGAGUGUUGUAAAUAAUAUGGAAUGUGUGGUUUCCUAACAUAACCACUUGAUGGUUUUCAACUUUCCACUAGUUUAUUAACUUCCCAUAUCUAUAUAUGGUGUUAGUGGCGAUGUAACUUCUACGUAACUUCCACAUGUAACUCCUUUGUAACUUCCUGGUGGUUACCACCUAUAUAAAUGAGAAACACUCCCUCCCCACGUACCCCACAAUUUUCUCUCUACGGAUUGUUGUUCUUUGCAUUCUCUCUUUCUCUCUUUGUCUUGUUAUUUACAUUCUUAUGUAUUUCCACAAACACAAACCAAAGAGCUAGAUAAAUAGGCCAUUUUACAACAGUUUAUAAUUGAUAAAAGUUGUUUUGGAUUUAUCUUAGAUAAUAAAAAAUAAAAUUGGGCCUAUAAUGACCCUUGUGUAAUGAGGGGUUUUUGUCAAAUUUUCUCACAAGAAAAAUCCUUUUAUAUAUACCAAAAUUACCCCCAACUCCUUCAAACCCUAAAUCAAUUCCAAUUUCAUUAUUUACACCCCAAUUCAACCCGAUUAACUAAUUUUGACCCUUAUUCCAAUUUUGACCCCCACCGCCGGUCUUUGGCGUUAACUUUUUUUUUUUGAAUUUUCUUUUUCUGAUUUUUUUUUCCUGCAGGUCAACCGCCGGUCUCCGGCGUUGACUUUUUUUUCUUUCGGAAAACUUGUUAUUCUUAAAAAAAAUAUUUUAAUUAAUAUUACUGUCUUGUCCUUCUAUAUUACUGUCUCCAACAGUAAUAAUACUGACAGGGACAAUAAUUUAACUGUUUGAGGCAGUAAUUUUACCGUAUUAAUUUAUUUUAACGUCUUGGCCUCCAAUUUUGCUGUCUUCGACCAUAGUAUUAAUGUUUCCAGCUGUAAUAUUACUGUCUCAUGUAGGGGUGCAAGUUCGAACGGAAAUUCCAAUUUCCGCCGGUUUCAAUCCGAAAAGUUCCAAUUUUGGAACAACUUUUUUCAUUCCGACUUCCGAAAUUCCGAUUUCCGAGUUUUUCCGAUUUUUUUGCAUUGGAAUUGGAAUUAUAUAAAAUAAAUUUGGAAUUUCCAAUUUCCGAUCCGAUUUGAUUUCCGAAAUUAAUUCCAAAAAUUUUCGAUUUUUUUUCCCGAAAAUACACCUAAAAAUAAUAAAUAUUAUAUAAUAUUUAUUUUUCCGAUAAAUACACCUAUAAUUUUUUUUAGGAUUUUGACAUAAUGAAUUGUUGUUAGGAGUUUUAUUAAAUAUUAUGUUGUGUUUUUUUUUAAUUUGUUUUUUGAACUGAAAUUAGUAAUUAUUAGUUUUACUUUUAUGGACGUGGAUGUUCUUAUUUUUGGAAAAUUAUGAACAUUUAAGAAAAAAAUUGCUAAUUUUUGAAAUUUUUAAGCUUAUGUAAUUUCCGAUUUUUUCCGAAAUUCCGAAAUUUCCGGGCCUUUUGGAAUUGGAAUGCAUUUUUAGAUUCCGACAAUUUUGGAAUUGGAAUCGGAAUUGAUUUUGUACUUCCAAAACUUUUUGGAAAUUUUUCGAAAUAGCUAAUUCCGAUCCGAUCCAUCCGACUUUCACCCCUAGUCUCAUGCAAUAAUAUUAUUGUUUCGGACAAUAAUAUUAGUAAUAUUGUUGUUCGGGAAAGUAACAUUCAUAAUAUUACUGUUCGGGGCAGUAAUAUUAGUGUUCGGGAUAGCAAUAUUACUGUUUGGGACAGUAAUAUUGGUGUUCGGGAAAGUAACAUUCAUAAUAUUCUUUUUUUUUUAACUUUUUUUUUCUCUCUAAAGUAUUACUACCUGAGACAAUAAUUUUGUUGUUAACACAAUAAUUUAGAGAGCAAAAAAUGUUUCAAAAAAAAAAAAGAAUUCAACGCCAGAGAACUGCGCGAUCAACGCCGGAAUCUGGCCGUAAUUUUUUUUAUUCAGAAAAAAUAAUUAUUUUCUGAAAAAAAAAAUAUGAAAAUGAGAGUUAGUGUGAUAUAUUUGUUCAAAUUUGGGUCAAUGUGCAAUAUUAAUGAAGUUGGAGUAUAAUAAAUAGAAUUGAUGAAAAUUAUAUUAUGAAAGGUAUUUUAGAAAGAAAACAUAGAGAUGGAUUUAUUUACAAGACUUCUUUUUCAUAUGUACCUAUAUGAUAUGCCUAAUUGGGCCAACCCAAUGGACCUACAAUUUCUUUAUUUAAUGGGCCACGAACCCAAUAUUUAAGACCACUAUCACCGAGGCCCAAUCUCCUUCAAGUAAGGUUUGGGCCUGACAAUCUCAACUAAGUUAUAAAUAAAGGUUUGAACUCAUUCCUUAAGGUACGUCCUAUUAUCGGAGUAAUACUAUAAUUUGUAUUCUCUCAACUAUUUCCACAAUCCUCACGUCUGACUUGAGCGUCGGGGGGGUUUCCGCCGGAUCAACCCCCGGCCUAGUUCACAUGUUCUUUGUUCACAGGUAUCUUAGGGCCAUCUAGCACGUGAGCAGUGAUCCACUUUGCUCUCCCAACUCCCUCGAUCUCAACUACUUAAGGUGAUCUAUUUUUAGCAUCAUCAUAAUGGCGCCGUCUGUGGGAAAGCAUACAAGAUCACGUAGCGAGCAUGAUGUCCCUGAGUUAUCUACUCGGAGAGAACGCGCCAAUGCUAACAACCUUCCACCUCGUGGAGGCUCUGUCUUUCCACUUCCUCCUCGUAAUCAUGAUCCACCUCAUGAGGUCCAGAUAAAUCCUCCGCAGGAUCCACCACUCCCCGCUCCCCGAACGGUUCAAAUAACCGAAGAGGCCAUCCAACACAUGAUUGCGGAAGUUUCAGCUCGAGCUGCCACUGAAGCAGUGGCACAAUACAUCGCCACAACGGGAGUCAACGCUCCCCUUGCAUCUCCACCCGUGGCACAACGACCUCCACCGCCACCGGAUAACACAUCCACCUCAGACCCUAUGUCUCGAAUGCAACAAUCUACUCAUCGCCUUAAUGCACGAACCGGGCGACAAGUCUCACGUUCACCUUCAAGAGGCAACGCCUCUCGCCAACGAGUACCUCCACACAAUGCUGGAGAUGAUGAAACUGACAGUCGGGUAUCUCGCUCAAAUGACCUCCCCCACAUAGGUAAUCCUAUUGGUGGUAGGGCAAUACCUCCAAUAAGGCGCAGUCCAUUUACUGUCGCAAUAAUCAAUGAGAUACUACCCCAACGGGUAAAGGUCUCGAGUCUACCCCAGUUCGAUGGAACUAGUGACCCUCAUGAGCACCUUGAAAUGUUCCACGCCAUUGCAGAUCUAUAUGGCCCAACUGAUGCGGCGAUGUGCAAGAUGUUUCGCACAACGCUCUCCGAACGAGCAUUGAGCUGGUUCAACUCCUUGCCCACUGGGUCAAUUGAAGCUCUCUCCCAACUACGGAUCGCUUCACCCACUAUUUCGCUAUCAACAAAGAGUACGCUAAGACUCCCGCGUACCUCUUCACUAUCACCCAGAGAGAGGGCGAGACCCUUCACAACUACAUUCAACGAUUUGUAGAGGCAGCUCACAAAGUUCCUAACGUGGGAUGAAGCAUGCUCGCUGGAAUCAUUCAACAAACUUGAAGGAAGGUAGAUUCAAGGAAUCUAUUGCAGGAAGACCUCCAACCACUCUAGAAGAACUACUAAGUCGCGCUGAGAAACACGUGCGCAUCGAAGAGGCUUCAGCCCUCCCUCAUCCCAAGAGAAAAAGAGAUGAAGAUCACUUCAACACCCUGUAACGAGAUGGCCGACGACAAUCGUCGACAUCUCAUUGAGAAUCUCCUUCUACAUCCCUAGAUUUCCAAUGAGGUCAAUGACACUUAGAGUCUCUCGAGUCCAUAACAUUAUUAGUGAUCGCAUCAUCCUAAACUGGGGGGGCUAUCCUACCUUAAGGAUGAUGCAUCCCCUCACCUCUCGACAUCAAUUGGACGAAACAUCUACUUAGUACAAGUUUAGUUAUUUUGAGCGAAGGGCUCCCUACUUGUUUAGUUACAUUCGCCUCAAGUAGGCUUGUAACCUUCACAUUUUCAAGCAAUGAAUAAAACAAGUUAUUUCCCUUACACUUGGUGUUAUUGCUCAACAACUACUUAAUUAUUAUCUCAAUAUGCGCACGUGAUCAGCGAGCUUCAUCCAUCGCGAGACAAUGCCCAAUGGUUUGACAUCUCAUCUCAAGGUUGGUAUUCCCCCAUACAUUUCUACCCUAAGGGUUAGACAUCCCAUCCCAAGAGUUGGGUAUCACCACUCUACCACAAGGAUUAGACAUGCCUCAAAGGUUGGACAUCAACCACCUCCCAGAAAAAAAAAAAAAAAAAUCCGGCGAAAAAAAUCUGGAAGAAAAAAAAAAAUCAAAACCGCCGGUCAACCCCGAAAUCCGGCGGCAAAAAAUGUUUUUUGAAAAAAAAAAGUUUUGGGUCAAAAUUGAAUAAUUUGUGAAAUUUGGGGUCAAAUUGAGGUUAAAUUAAGUUAAGGGUGAAAUUGGAGCAUAAUAAAGUAUGAGGGCUAUUUUAGUCUUUUACAAAAAUCUGGACCAUAUGUGGACUUAUUAGUAAAUAAGUUUUUUGUCUGGAUCUCUUUAUGAAUAAGUACCCAUCAAUGGACUUAUUUGUAAGAACCCUAUUUUUAUUAACUAAAUAGUAAAAAUUAUAAAUGUAUGUCCUGACAUAAUGCUAAAUGCGCUGGGCAGAAAUUACACGUGGGGCUAAUAAAGUACUUGAAUAUCUAUUACUCCCUCCGUUCCCCAUUAAGUGUCGUUUUUGGCUUUGCACAAGGAUUAAGAAGCUCAACAAAUGUGUCUUGAUUUUAGGUAAAAUAUAUUAGAAAGACUAAAAUAACCUUGAUUAUUUAAUGAUGUGAUAAGAGAGAGUUAAUACUUAUAGUUGAAUUAAUAAGGUUAAAACAGGAAAAAAUGCAUUUAAUGCAGUAUUGGAAAUCUAAAGUAACAGAUAAUUAUGGAACAAAAAUAUUUAAAAAAAGAGACAGUUAUUGUGGAAAAGAGGGAUUACAAUACAAAGUACAUUAGAUGAUUAGAACUCUAGCGGCGGACGAUUCUAUAAAAAAGGAAAAGAAAAAAUACGACUCACCGUCGUUACAAACCACUGUCAAGCAUCAGAAUCGCGUCAGCACCACCAAUCAAUUUUGAGGUAAUUAAUUUUUCUCACUCCCUCUGUUAACUUCUCUCGAUUUCUAUUUCUCUGUCUAAAUGAGUUUUGGCUGGGAAUAAUGUAAUUGUGCUUUAGCUGGGGGAAGACCUUUAACAAUUUUGUCCAAUUCCCCACUCAAUUCUAUAUAUGAGUUGUUGAUAUAAAGUUUGAUUUCAGCAUUAGGUGAAAGAUUUCGUCCCUUUUAGUUUCGUUUUUUUUUCCCAAUUGUUUCCAGUUUUAUCUUCAAGAAACAUUGAUCAAUGUUGAUUCAAGAAAUUUUCAACAGGUGUUCAUAUGCAAUUUAGUUGGGUUUUUUUUUUUUGGGUGUGUGUGUCUGUGAUAUUAUGUUUUGGAAUAAUGGUAUCAUUCAUAUUAAUUUAUUCUAAAAUCGUUCUCAUCGAUGUCCUAAUUUGCGAAUUCCCACCUGUGCUAUAAUUCAGAAGAGGUGUACUCAGGAUUCGUUGCGCUUCGGUAUCACUUUGUGUUAUUGUGCAUAUAACUUGUGUUUUAUCUAUGUUCUACAAAAAAAAGAUAGGCAUAUAACUUGUGUUUUAUCUAUGUUUUAUCUAUCUUUUUUGUUAUUAAUAAAAAAGAAAAAUAAAUUGUGUUGAUUAUUGUUACUUUAUGCAAUUUCAUUUACAAUUCCUUUUUUUUUAUAAAGUUUCCAUUAGAAGAUCGGAUGGCAUUGCUGUUGUUAACAACUUUGUCUAUAUAAACUUGUUAAACUUUUACAUCUCGUUGUUAAAUUCAAUUUAACUAUUAUAGAUAUGGAGAAUGGUAUCGUUUUAACUAUCAUAGAUAUGGAGAAUAAAGUGCAAACUGCGGUCGGCAUUGCUGGUGGGUUUUUUCUUUUUUACUAUUCCAUUUACAUAUUUUAUUUCUCUACGGUUGUGUUUCAAUUCUUGUUUUCUUUUUCUUGAAACAGGAAUAAUUUCGGGGGUAUUUCUUUACUUGACACCGAUGUAAGUUUCACGACUUAAUCAAUUUGAAAUUGCAGUUUGACAGGUUUCUUUUAUCUUGUGUUAUUAAAGAUAUGGGUCUAUUGUUUUACUAUGUUGUUUAGGGGACUAAUAUUUUAGUUUUUCUUCAUUUGUGUUUCAACUUUCUUGGAAAAAUAUCAUGAUAUGUUACAUAGUUGGUGAGACACUAUUUAUACCUAAUGUUUGUUGUGCGCAAAUUUUCUUAAUAGGAAAAUUGUCAUAAGGAUUGCGGAGGAAAGAUCAUCGGAAAAGUUAUCAGUAACCCCGUAUUUUCUUGCAUAUCUGAACUGCGUGUUUUAUAUGGGGUACGUGUGUUUGGUUUCUUCUAUAAUUGAAACUGCCAACAAUAGUCUCAUUCAUAGAAUAAUCUAAUUUGUUGAUUUUCCUUUCUUGAUAGGUAUACAGCAUGGUCAUCAAAUUGGCUUGCAGUCAUUGCGAAUGCAUUAGAUGCUCUCAUUGUUUUUCAUUAUGUGAUGAUUUUUAUGUUUCUUUCACCAAUUAACUUGAUUGCAUAUAAGCGUGUGGGAGCACUCCUUGUUGUAUUUGUGGUUUUAGUCACAUUUAUUUUUGUUCCCUUGUCAAUGCAUGAGCAUCUGGGGCUGCUUUUCAAUGGAUUGGUAGCCACUGCAUUCUCCAUUGCUCUUUAUAUCACAUCACUAGUAAGUAUCUCUUCUUCAUAAAUCUUUUUAUUAUUUUGACUGCGGCAUGUAUGUUUUGUUUAUUGUUAAUACUGAAGAAAAUUUAUAAAAUGAUGUACUGUAUUUUGCCAUCCAAUUAAUGGUAUUUGCAAUUAUUUUUAUUGAGUGAUGACAUUUCUUAAUUAGUUGGUGAUUUUUUGACAAAAAAAACUGUAGUUUUUGGUGAUCCAAAGAAAAGAGGUGGAAUUCAUGUCAUUCUACACGUCGAUCUUGAUGUUGUUGAACGGGGCAUUCUGGUUUGUCUUUGGCUUACUUAGACAAGACUUUUUUAUUGUUGUAAGUAUAAUAAAUAUUGCAACUCAUUUGAUUUUCAGAUUUGUUUCUUAAAUGUCGGUCGACUAAAUAUGUUCAUUCUCCAGCUAUUAAAUGGUGUUGGCUGUGGAGUGGGAGCAGCACAAAUAUACCUGAUGUAUCCAAAUAACAAAGGCAAAACUGUGAAGCAAAAGAAAACUAUAGAAGGGGAAACCAGGAAUCAAAAGAAUAAAAACAAAGGAGGAGAAAAUAAAACCAAGAUUGCAUGAUUUAUUUAAAGCUUAAUUUUGAAGGGAACUUGCAAAAGCUAUUUGGCUUCAAAAAUAGUGCCCAUAGUUAUUUGUUUAUUUAUGUAUGUUUUAUGGGUCUCAAAAACUGGUGUACCAUAACCGCUUCACUCUAGUACUUGUAAUUUUUUUUUUUUGGUUAUUAUGCUUAUGGUAGUAUUUAGGGUAAAAAAACAUUUUGCCCCCUCAACUAUGUCGUUUUUUCAUUGCUAUGCAAACAAAAUACUUUUCCACGACUUUUUCCUAAACUCAUUUACUUGUUGCAUCUUGCCUAUUUCCAUCAAAAUCAAAAUAAUUUAACAAGAAAUAUACCAACUAAUUAGCAUAAUUUUUAAACGAUUCUAGACGACAUAGUUUAAUAUGCUCCAAUUUCGUCAUUUAAUUCAAUUGAACUUCAACUUAAUCCUAAAUUUCACAAAUUUUUCAAUUUUGACUCAAAACUCAAUUUUGAGCAAUUUUUACCGCCGCUCUCCGGGAUUGACUCUUUCUUUUUUCUCCAAAUUCUUCCGUCGGUUUUCGGCGUUGACCAUUGGUCAACACUGGUCUCUGACGUUGACUUCUUUGAUUUUUUUUCUUCUUCUUUCUGCCGUUACUAACCGGCAGUCAACGCCGGUCUCCGACGCCUUUUUUUUGAUUUUUUUUCUUCAACAUCUAUUUGCCUGUUUAAACAGUAAUAUUACUGUGGUUGACCGUAAUAAAAAAAAUAGUAUUAUUGUUUAACACAUUAAUAUUAACUAUAUUACUGUUUAACAAAGUAAUAUUACUAUAUUAUUCUCUAGCACAAUAAUAUUAACACAACAAAAAUCACUAUUAUCGUGUAAUAGUGUAAUAUUAAUAUGUUGACCGUUCAAUAAAGACAAAUAUAAUAAAAAACAAGAAGAAUUAAUAUUGAUGUGGUUAACAGUAAUAUUGAUGUCAUCCACAAUAAUAUUAUUGUGUUUAUAGUAAACAAUAGUAGACAAUAAUAUUAUAACGUUAAUCGGUCAACAAGUCAAACAAAACAACAAUUCCAAAAAAAAUAAUAUUGAUGUGGUUGAUAUUAAUAUUAUUAUGUUUACAGUAAUUUUACCGUCAACGUCAACAAAUAAAACAAAAUCAAAGAAAGCCAAAAAAACAAUAAUAUUGUUGUGGUUGACAGUAAUUGUACUGUCAGCAUCGAUUGUAUAAUUACUGUUAAUAACAGUACAAUUACGGUCAACGUUUAGCGGCGAACGUAAAAAAAUGAUAUUUUUUAGGGGAAAAAAAUAAUUUAAAAAGUCACCGCCGUAGACUGGCGGCGGAAAAUUAAAUAAAAAAAAUAAAUAAAUAAAAAAUCAAUGCUGAAAACAGCGGCAAGAAAAACAGACAUAAAAAAAAAAUCAACGCCGAAACACGGUAGUAAAAAAUAGUUUAAAAAAAGGAAAAAGUCAAAAUUGAAUUUUUCCUUUAUUUAUAGGAAAAACAAAAUCAUAUUUUUAAGGUAAGUCCAAAAUAUUUUUAAUUAAUAAAAAAUAAUUAAAUUUCACUAUUAUACCAUUAUAUCAUUAUUAUGGAAAAUCAAUUAUUUUUUUUUUGUAAAUAUGCAAAUCCCCAUUUUUCCAUGUCUCAAGUCAAUUUCUGUUUUUCCUUUUUCUUUUUGAUUUUUUAAUGGUUUUCAUUAGUUCGAUAAAUUGAUUAUUUUUUAAUUUUUUAAUUAUUUAUUUAUUUUUAUUUUCAAUUUUUAUUUUAAAUUAUUUUUAACUUAUUUAUAUUUUUCAUCUUGAUUUAACAAAAAUGGUUUUAUGUUUAUUUUUUGUUUUUAAUGGUUUUUUUUUCUUAAUUUCGAUUUUCUUAAUUUUUUUUUCCAGUUUUUUGCAUAAAAAAUGAUUUGUUUAAUUAUUUUUUGUUAAUUCCUUCUAUAUUUUGAUUAAAAAUUAAUUUAUUUUUUAAUAUAUAAAAAAAAUCAUGCAUGUUUAUCAAAGUGGAAUCCAAUAUACACGGAUUUCGACUAAUUUGUAGUGAAUUUCGAUAAAUUUAUAGUGGAUUUCGAUAAAUUUGUAGUGGAUUUCAACAAAUUUAUAGUGGAUUCGAUAAGUUUAUAUUGGAUUUCGACAUGUUCGUAGUGGGUUUCGAUAAAUUUAUAGUGGUUUUCAACAAAUUUAUAGUGGAUUUCGUCUAGUUUGUAGUGGGUUUCGAUAAAUUUUUGGUGGUUUUCAACAAAUUUAUAGCAGAUUUUGAUAAGUGUAUAGUGUAUUCCACUUUGAUAAACCUGUUGAUUUUUUUUUUCAAAUAUUAAAAAAAAAUAUAUUUUUAAUCGAAAUAAAAUAAAAUUAAUAAAAAAAUAAUUAAACAAAACAUUUUUUUAAUCAAAAAAACUGUAAAAAAAAAAAUCAAAAAUACCAUUUUAAAAAAUUGAAAUUAAGAAGAAAAAAAACCAUUAAAACAUGAAAAUACAAUUUAAAAAAUCAAAAUGAAAAACAUGAAAAAUAUAAGUAAGAAAAAAAUAAUUUAAAAGAAAACACUGAAAAUAAAACUAAAUUAAAAAAUAAUUUUUUUUUGGUUUAAAAUUAAAAUAAAGAAAAUCCUUCAAAAAAAUACAAAAGAAAAGAAAAAAAAGAAACUGAAAUAGCGCGACACGAGGAGAUAUUAAAGGGAUUUGCAUAUUUAUAAAAACUAAUUAAUUUUCUACGAUAAUAUCAUAUGGUAACUUUCAUUAAUAUUAAAUGAGGGUAUUUUGGAUAAUUCGAGUCAGUUGGAUUUAUUAAAAAUAUCAAUUAAUAAAAAUGGAUUUAUCAUGAAGUUAAAAAUUCAAUGAGGAGGUUUUGUCAAAUAGCCCCUUUUUUAUAAUACAUAAUAAAUGGAUGCUUAUUGACGGAAGAGAUAUAACCCCUGAACCUAGAAUAAUAAAGAUUGUUGGACAGGGUCUUAUUCAUAAUUAAGGUCACAUUACAAAUAAGUCCAUCAUGUGAUACUUAUUCAUAAAGGGGUUCAGACAAAAAACUCUUUUACAAAAAGUCCAGACACUAUCAAGAGGUGUGUAAAAAACUAAAAUACCCUUCACAUUUUAAUAUGCUCGAAUUUCAUUAUUUAAUUCAAUUUAACCUCAAUUUCACCUCAAAUUUCACAAAUUAUUCAAUUUUAUCCAAAACUCAAUUUUGAGUAGUUUCACUUGUCGCCGUCGUUGACUGCUGGUCUCCGACGUUGACUUUUUUUUCUUUUGUUUUUUCCACUGGUCUCUAGCGUUGACUUUUUCGAUUUUUUUUUCUUCUUUCUGCUGCCGCUGACCGGUCAACGCCGAUCUCCGGUGUCGUUGACUUUUUUUUCUUUUUUAAUUUUUUUUCUUCAACAUCUGUUUGCACGUUUAAACAGUAAUAUUGUUGUGGUUGACCGUCAUAUUAACUAUAUUAACGUUUAACACAGUAAUAUUAACUAUAUUACUGUUUAACACAGUAAUAUAUUAGCUAUAGUACAGUUUAACACAUUAAUAUUGUUAUACUACUCUGUAGCACAGUAAUAUUAACACAAAAAAAUUACUAUUAUUGUGCAAUAUAGUAAUAUUAAUAUGUUUAUGGUUUAACAAAGGCAAACAUAAUAAAAAGCCAAUAAAAUUAAGGGAAAAUGAGGGAUAACCCCCUCAUUAGGUAAAAUAAUAUAGUAUAGGCCCAAUUUAUAAUUGACCAUUUGUAGACAAAUCCAUUUAAUAUUUUCUGAAUUGUGUGACCCCCCUAAGCUUAUGUUAAUGCCCAUUAUGCCCUUUUUUGUCCAUAUUUAUCUCCAACUUUCUCUCUCUUCUCCUUAUUUCUCUCAUAUCCGUCAUUUUAUAUCUCCAUUAAUUUCUCUCUCUUCCUUAUUUUCCUCAAUUUUUUAACGUGUUCUUUUAUUCUUCUUAUUUUUCUCUCUCCUCUCUCUUAUCUUCUCUCUCUUCCUUCCCUUCUNNNNNNNNNNNNNNNNNNNNNNNNNNNNNNNNNNNNNNNNNNNNNNNNNNNNNNNNNNNNNNNNNNNNNNNNNNNNNNNNNNNNNNNNNNNNNNNNNNNNNNNNNNNNNNNNNNNNNNNNNNNNNNNNNNNNNNNNNNNNNNNNNNNNNNNNNNNNNNNNNNNNNNNNNNNNNNNNNNNNNNNNNNNGUAUCUUUUUUUUUUUCUUUUUCUCCCUCUCUCUUCUCUCUCUCUUCUUUCUCUUCCCUCAAUUCCUCUUUUCUCGCCUGUUUUUGUUUCAUUUUUUUUCCACUAUUUCUUCUCACUACUGUACCUUUUCUUCUAUAUCUCAUUUUUUGGUCCUUGAAGUCAUUUUAUUUUCUACUCUAUGAAAUUUAUAUUUUCAUGAAGAUGAGAUCUUUAUCAUGAGUAUUCAAUUUUAUAACAUCAUAGUAUCUUAAAUUGAAAAAUAAUAUGGUAAAUUAAUGGAAAAAUUAUAGUUGACUACCAAUUUUUCUAUAGUUGACAUUUGAACAAUUAUAGUUGACUAUCUAAUUUUUGUAGUUGACUCUGGCAAAAAUAUAGUUAACUACCAUUUUUUAUAGUUGACAUCGUAAAAAUUAUAGUUGACUAUCUAAUUUUUAUAGUUGACUUCGGAAAAAAUAUAGUGAACUACCGAUUUUUAUAGUUGACUUCGGGAAAAAUAUAGUGAACUACCGAUUUUUAUACUGAUCUUUUCUUUGUUUUGGACUCUGAUAAAACAAAUUUCAUAGGAAAACAAAUAUUUAUGAGUCAACAAAUAGUGUGACCAUAGAUCUGUAGAUUUAAAAAACAAUCGUGUUUACAAACUCCAUUUUUGAGUAAUCAACCAUGGAAGACAUCCAAACCGUCGCAUAUGGUCGUCGCGUACCGCUGUAUACCGUUUUUGUAGGAGACCUCGAUUUUGUCCUUCGGAGUCGCUGAAGAAGGUGUCAAAAACAGAAAUUAUGUGGUAGAGAUGGGUAUAUAGCAAACUACCUGUCUUCUUCUUGCCGUUCUUCACCAUUUUUGUCAACCUGUGUUGCUGAACGAAUUGCACAAUAUAAUGGUAUUCUGAUUUUUAUUUUUCGCUGAAGAUGUAGCAAACUAGGGCAAUGUUUGAGAGGGGAAAAUAUCCGAUAUAUAUUUUAGUUUUUUUUGGGAGAAUUUCUCGGCAUAAAUAUAGCAGGGGAGAAAUUAUAUUGAAGAAUAUGGUUGAAGAUAUGCAGUAUUUGGGGAAAACGGUGGGGGGGUCUUCGCUAUUACAAAUUAUAGGGGUAGUUCAGUAAUUGACAUUUCUGAGGGGGUUUGACCCAUUAAAAAUAUUGUAAGGUGGUUAGUCCUAAUAUUUUUUCUAAUGAGGGGGUUAUAUCUUAUUAACCCUAAAAUUAAUAUUAAUAUGGUUGACAAUAAUAUAAAUGUUAUGACAAUAAUAUUACUGUCAACCACAAUAAUAUUAUUGUGUUUAUAGUAAUAUUAUAGUAAUAUUAUUACGUUAUUCAGUCAACAAAUGAAACAAAACAAAAAGGCAAAAAAAAAAUAUUGAUGUGGUUGACAGUAAUAUUAUUGUUUUACAAUAAUUUUACCUUCAAUGAUAAUAAUAUAAUUUCGUUGACUUGUCAAUAAAUCAAAAAAACUAAAAAAAAAAAAAAAAAAGCCAACAAAAUAAUAAUAUUGUUAUAGUUGAUAAUAAUUGUACUGUCAUUGCCAAUACAAUUACGUAAAUGUACUGUUAACGACAAUACACUUACAUAAGUAGUCAACGACAGUACAAUUACUGUCAGCGACAGUAUAAUUAAUGUUAAUGACAGUAUAAUUACGGUCAACGUUCAGCGGCAGACGUAAAAAAAAUUUUAGAGAAUCUUUUUUUUUUAAAGUCAACGUCGGAAACCGGCGGCGGAAAAAAAAAACAAAAAAUAAAAUAAAAAUAAAAAUAAUAAUAAAUUAAUAAGUUAAUGCCGAAAACCGGCAGUAAAAAAAAGAGUUCAGAAAAAAAAAGUUUAAAACAAGAAAAAGUCAAAAUUGAAUUUUUAUGGUCGAAAUUGAUUAUAUUGAAGUUAAAUUGGGUUACAAUUAAGAAUUGGAUUUAAAGGGUUGAAGGUAAUUUUGUCAUAUACAUUAAUUUUUCUUUUAUUUAUAAUAUAUAUUAAAGGGAUGGACUUAUUGGUGAAAGAGAUAUAACCCGUGAACCUAAAAUAAUAAAGAUGGUUGAUCACACUUAUUCAUAGAAACCCUUAAGAUAAAUCAACACUCUUUUCACAUUCUUUCUAAUACCAAACUUGCCCUUCCACUAUUCCCAUUUCUCCUUUCUUUUUAAUUUUCUAAUUAAUUUUUGUUUUCUACUUUUUAUCGUCUUCUCCGACGAUGGCGGCGAUUAGGGUUUUGGCGGUGGUGGCGAUUAGAGCUUUGGCUGGAGUUUAGUAAUUUUGCUAGGCUUGCUAAGAUUCUAGAAUUUGCAAAAGAAGAAUCGGCUGGUGUGGAACUGGCAAGAAGAAGUUGGCGGUGUAGGGGCGAGAAGAGCGGAAGAGACGGGUGGUGGAAGGAAGGAGCGGUGGCGACGGUGUGAAAAUAUGAUUGUCGGAGGUGGUGUCGAGAGUUUGAUGGUGGUGGUGAUUUCAAUGGGAAAAAAGAAUUUUGGGGAAGACAUGUUCUUUCUCUCUGUUUGGAGCAGCGGCUUGACGAGGUAAUUGCCGGUUGUCAUGGCAAUUUCAAUUGAAAAAGAAGAAUUUUGGGGAAGACGUAAUUUUCUCUCUUUUCUUUUCUUUUUCCGUUUUUCCCAUAAAAAUGUGUUUUUAUUCCUUUAUUUAAAAAAAUUUAAAAAUUGCAAUUUGAUCCAAAGAUUUGGAUUAAUUAUAUUUAAAUCCAAUUCAAUUUUACGUUUGGGAAAUUUACAAUUCAGUCCCCUAAUUUAAGUUUAAGAGGUUUAGUAAAAUUGCAAUUUGGCCUCUAUUAUAUAUUAAUUCUAAUUUUAUGUUAUUAGUUGAAGAUUAGUAUAGUCACUUCCUUUUAGUCAACAUAUUUAUUUCCACUAGGGGCAGUGAACUAAAUAAAAUGCAACAUAGGGGAUUAAUUGCUAAUUGUUCUAGCAUGGGGUCUUUUUUAGCCAUUACAACAUGUGAAAUGCUAUUCGCGGUUACGUUUUUGCUAUUCGCGGUUCAUAAAAAAAACUCACUCUCUCUCUAAAACUACAAAAACCAAAAAACCGCAAAUAGCAAAAAAAAAAAAUUCGAAAUCUCGAAUUCAAGCUCGAAGAACCAUUGUGCUUCGAUUUUUUGAGGUAAUUUCGACUAAUUUAUGUAAAAUAUGCAUUGCCCAUGUCGUUUACGCAACCAAUUUCAUGUUUAAAGCCCCUACAAAUCGAAUUGUAGGGGCUUUUUUUUCGGUAAUUUUAGGCUGAACGCCCAANNNNNNNNNNNNNNNNNNNNNNNNNNNNNNNNNNNNNNNNNNNNNNNNNNNNNNNNNNNNNNNNNNNNNNNNNNNNNNNNNNNNNNNNNNNNNNNNNNNNNNNNNNNNNNNNNNNNNNNNNNNNNNNNNNNNCCAGGCGUUGAUGCAGCAAUGAACGCCCGGUUUGGGCGUGAACCGGGCGUUUGAGAAUUUUUUAUUUUUUAAUUUUUAAAUCAAUUAUAUUAAUUUAAUUAAUUUCAAAUAUGUUUUAUGUUUGUAGGAUGUCUAAUUGGAUGAAAAAAAUGGGAAUGGGAAAAGGGAAGGGUCACCUGAUUCGUCCUCCUGCAAAUCCGGUGGAUGAGAAUACUGCGGAACGGGAGGGCAGAACGCACAACCGUAAUGUUACCAGUUCUAAACGUCGUGGGGAACGAACUGGUGCUUUUGUACAACCACGUAUGACAAUUGAAGAGGAGGAGGAGACAGAGGCAGGAGAUGGAUACAUAUAUGGAUCCCCACGAGGACAAGUACUAUCCAGGACUACGUUUUCAGCAGAAGUAUUAGUUCCCGGGGACUGAUUUGCCAUCCGAUGAUGAUGACGAGGACGGUUUGACUCCGCCUCCGCCUCCGGCUUAUACAAUGGCUGGU